GGUGUGAUAAUUGAAAAAGCGGAUAAGUGGAGUCUGAUUAUCGAAGUACGAAAAGUCCAAUUUGCCCCCAGGUUUAUGGGUACUCGCGACUGUUGCAAAAACUUGCUUUGGAUAAUGUCCAAACCACAAUAAUAUUUUUUUUUUUUUUUUGUCAUCUGAAUAUAUUUAUAAAAGCAAAGGUACAUUUUGAGAUUACAAUAUUUGGAUAUUUUUGUUUAAACUAUUAUAUUAUUUUUAUUUAAAUAUUCAAGGGUGCAUUUUACAACUACAAACCCUGAUUGGAAGUCAAAAAUAAAGGAAAAGCCUACAAACUUUAUUCAAUUAUCCCUUUAAAACUUAGUUGGAAUUAUUAAAAAAAAAAACAGUAUCCAACAAGCUAAAAUAAAAGGUUAAACUGGCAAAGAUUUAGGAAAUGAUCGUGGAAUUGAAGAUAAAUUAUCUUUUAGAUAGAAAAAUUUAUACAAUCAUCUAACUAAUUAUUUUUAUUUAAGUAAUCAAAGAUUAUUGAUAAUUUAAUUAAUAUAAUAAUAUUUUUUUUUGUUUUAAUUAUAUCUCGUUUUGUAUUUACAUAAAUUAAGAUUUAUUAUUUUACCAUUUGUAAAUGUUGAACUUUAUCAAACAUCUGCCCUUAAAAUUUGAUAAAUUUAUCUUAUAUUGUGAUUGUUAAAAUGAGAAUGAAGUAAAUAAUAUAUUGGAGACAAUGGACUUGAUAUAGUUCAAACAUUGCAAACAUAAUUAGACUUGAUAUAGUGAGUGUCAUAAAUUUUGGAUUUUGUGUACAACAAACGUGUUCAAAUUUUAUGUUCCUUAGGCCAUCUCCAUGGGUUAUUUUUUGUGAAUGUCUUAAAGUCUAAAAAAAUGUCUUUAUGUGCCUACUUAAAGACAUUUUAACAUCAUUUGUCUUUAAAAUUAAUUAUAAUAUGUAGACAUCCAUAAAAAAAAUGACUAAUAGAGAUGGUCUAAUAUUGAUGUACAUGAUUGACACAUGUUGUCCAUACAUAGUUAUAUUUUCUUUAUUAUUUUUCUUUGUUUAUCUAUCAAACUCUUUGAAAAUCGAGAUUGUACAUGUUUUUAUUUAUUAGCUAUGUUUUGAAUCAAAAAAAAAAUUCAACUACACACUUUAGUCCAUUUCAUUUAUAGUCCAAAUAUCAUAGACAUUAAAUUUGAUUUGUGAGCGCUAUAAAAUCUAUCUUUGAACUUGUUUAUUCUCUGUUUUAACUACGAUACAACGUUUUUGUAUUCACAAGUACGUUUAGGAAUAUUAGAUGAUACGGUCGGGUGUAACACAUAUCACCUGAUUCAAUAGAAAUACUAUGAUUUUAUGAGAAAUUUGUUCUUUUAUAAAUCAUUGUGCGUGAUUAUCUUUGUGUUAAUUGAAAUUAACUUUUAUAAAUUACAACUGAAAUUAAUAAGUGUAACUUUUAUUUUAAUUAUUUUAAGAUGUGUAUUUGAUCAUAUUAACAUCAUAUUUUUAUAUAUAUAUAUAUAUAUAUAUAUAUAUAUUUUGGUUAUAUUUUGAAAAUAUCUCAUGAUAGAUAACAAUAAUCGCCAAAAAAAUCAAUAAAAUACCCAAAAAAAUAAAAAAUAAGACCAGCUGAUAAAUUAAUUUUAAUAAAACAAGAAUAUUUGAUUUUCAUAUUCAGAUAAUAAACAAAUCCAAAAUAAACCAAGGGGUGGACGAAGGGACAUAAAGAACCGUGGAAAUGCUUCAGUCCAUGUGCAUCACAUGACUUUUAUUAUGAGCUAUCCAUAAAACACCAAAAACUAAUAAUUAAUCUUUUUCUUAACUUCACUAAUCAUUGUUUCUUUUCUGUAUUAAUAAAAGUUAAAGAGUCGUCUUACCAAAAAAAAAUAGUUAAAGAGUCGUUAUUGUUUAUUCAACGCAGCGAUUAGAAGCCAAGCUUCACCGAAUAACUAACUGAACGAUUCAAAUUACUACAUUAGUUUUAUUUUCUAAUGUUAAGAAAUCAUUUUUCUUUGGUUAAAAUGAGAAGAAUAUCAAAAUAAAAAAUACAAGCGUUUUCGUUUGGACAAUAUUAUAAAACAGAAAAUCCACGCGGCGCUUAUGUAUCUAACUCGUUUCUACUAGGCCCAUAAACAAGGCCCAGUAAAGAGACUCGAGACACAAUUCAAACAACACCACUGAAGGCACGUGACCACUCAACAUCUUUCGUCCGCAUCUCUUCUCUGACCGAAGCUACAUCUUCCCAUCUCCCUGCGUCUGCAUAAACGUUCGAAAGCAUCACUUUGCAUCCUCCGUGAGAUGGAUCCAUUGCCGCUAGCUCGUUUGCCGCAAGCUCGGCGAUCUCGACGUUCCCAUGAGUCCGUGAAGCCGAUAAUAGCAUCCCCCAUAUCAUUACAUCCGCCUUUACUGGCAUCUUCUUGAUCAUUUCUUUUGCUUCCUCUAAUUUCCCAGCUUUCCCCAAUAAAUCAACCAUACAUCCGUAAUGCUUAAUGUCUGGCUUGAUCCCGUGAUCUCUUUUCAUGCUUUCGAAAUACGUUUUACCUAACUCCACUAGGCCUGCAUGGCAGCAUGCGCUCAAGACACCUACAAAUGUGAUGCUGUUCGGUUUAAUUGGGAGAGAUUGGAGGUCAGAGUAAAGAUCAAGAGCUAGUUUUGCAUGGCCAUGUGUCGCAGACCCGCAAAUAAUUGCGUUCCAAGGAGAGAUAGUUGACGAGCAGAUGCUCUUUGUCUGACGAAAAACGUUUAGAGCGGUUUCGAUGCUACCGCAUUUGACAUACAUGUCGAUUAUAGCGGCAGUUAGAUUGUUGUUGGGAGGAAUUGAGCUACGGGUUAGAUACUCGUGUGCUCUUAUCCCUUCUUCCAGUGAUCCUAGAGUUGAAAUUGCAGAGAAAACACUCACCAUUGUGAUUGCAUCUGGUUUCACUUGGCUACUAUUGAUCAUUUCGCUAAAGAGAUGAAGAGCUAACUGAGGCGAAAGACUCUGUGCGUAACCCGAUAUCAUAGCAUUCCAUGAAAAGAUAUCUUUAUCACGAGUCUGAUUAAAUACUUCUCUUGCCUGUUCAACCAUUCCAUUCUUCACAAAUCCUGCAAUCAGCGCGUUUCUUGACGCAAUGUGGUCCUUAAUGCUUACUUCAAAUUGCUGAAGAGCGAGUCUCAUGUCAGUAGAGACGGAGUAGAAAUGUAUGAUCGUUGCUUGUAUGAAAUCAUAACAAUCUAAACCCAUUUUCACGAUGGUACCAUGAAGUUGCAAGCCAUUUGAACUGCCCGAUGCUCGAGCUGAAGCCGAGAGAAGGUCCACCAUCAUAACUUCACUAGGCUUCAUUCCACAGCGCAACAUCUCGGUGUAGAAAACCAAAGCUUCAUCAAGCUGAUUCUUUUGGAGACUCCCAUCAAUCAUGGUUCCCCACGAGACAAUAUCUUUCUCAGUAAUCUGAGCAAACAAUUCCUUAGCCUGUUCGAUAAGUCCAGCUUUUGAGUACCCAUUUAACAUCACGUUCCAGGUUACUAAAUUUCUGUCAGGCAUUUCAUCAAACAACUGCCGAGCAUCCUUCAACCAUGCGCAGACACAAUACAUAUGCAGCAAAUUCGUCGAAACAAAGACCCGAUCAACAAGCUUCAGCUUUAUAGCUAAACUCUGCAACAUCCUGCAAUCCCAAAUCCCACCCAAAUGUGAACAAGCGGAUAUAACAGUGGCCAAAGUCACUUCAUUUAGCAUAAUUCCCAAGUUUCUCAUCUCACUGAAAAGCUCCAUAGCUUCACUCCACCGAUCAUUUUGAGCGUAACCCUUUAUCAAAGUAGUAUACGAAACACAGCUUCUCUCAGGCAUUACGUCGAACAACUUAAGCGCGUCCCCAAGUCGACGAGAUCUGACAUACCCAUCAACCAUAAUAUUGAAUGAAGCAGAAUCAAGCUUCGCAUGAUUUCGAAAAACAGAUUCUGCAUCUGCCAAGACACGGCAUUUAGCGUACAUGUUAAGAACGCUAUUGCAGAUAUAUCCAUUGGAAUCAAGACCAGAUUUUAAAACACGGCCAUGUAUUUGUCGGCCACAAGAUAUGUCAUUACUGGAAGCGCAUGAUCCAAGAGCAGAGACGAGUACUCGUUCACUAUUGGGACUCUCGCCGGAGAAAUCGAAUUGGUUCAGACAAGGAGCAGAGAAACAUCUCGCCUGCUGAGGAAACACGACCCAACACCAACGAAACCGGUGAACGUGGAUCGAUUUGAUCAUAUGAGACCAUGAGAGCAACAAAACUAAACCUUCAAGUUCGAGUUUAUAUAAUUUUCUCUCGUCCUCUAAGCUCACAUAGUAUAGAUACUGUAUAUAGUUUCUUCUGGUUUGUUCAGGAACAAAAAUAAAUCAUUAUUAUAUGCAUUAAUAAAAGACUAAAAAUAUUAAAUGCAACGAAAAAUACAUCUGAAAUUGGCAUUGGAAUUUUCUGAGUAUAUAUAUUAGUUGAUUCCACAGAGGAAGUGAUCAAGAUCUAUUUAGUUUCAGGGAUUUAACUACUGUAUAUGAAAUGGAGAAAUAAACAAUAAUUUUAUAUUUUCCUCCAAAGUUUUGAAUCAAUGUAAUCCGAGAAGAAGAAGAAGCUCUGGAAUUGUAUAUCUGCAACUGCAACAUUUUAAUGUGACAUAUCUCUAAGUAUACACUGGAAAGUUUCCGGAUCAGCGAUUGUCUACACAUCCCUUUACAGCUAUUUUUGCCGACGAUCUGCAGAGAAUAGGUGCAAACAAAGUAAGAGACACAGCAGAAGAUUGAAUAUCACAGCGAAUCAAACCGGAAUCCUUAAAAGCUUUGUUUAUAAUCAAGAAUCAUUGGCCUUUACGAUGAAUCCAGGAAUCACCAAGAUAAUAAGAAAGCAAAGUACUAGAAGAUGUAAAUACAUAUAUUUGUUACAGAUAGAAAUGAGGUGUUUCCUCUAUGGUAGGCAAUAAACUAGAAGCUAGCCAUAUUGUAAACGCAAGUCUAUCGAGUGGAACCACUUCUCAACAGAAAUGGACAUGUUCAUGGCAAAAUUAUGAAUUUACUCUUUCAAAAUAGCUUAAAUCCUUUUAGAAAAAUCUCAGUGAGGCAGAAGAAACAUUUCCCGCUUUCUUCACAGUAUUGACUGACCCAUUACUUCAUACUCUAAACCUGAUCCUAAAGCUUAUAACUUUUUGGCAUCUCGUUAUCCAGUUGAGCUAUUACAUAGGUUUCCCAAACUGAAGACCUGAACUUUACACAACUAGAUAAAAGUGAAAUCGGGGAGAUUUCAAAUCGCAUCUGGUACAUGAUACACAUGUUCCAUGAUUAUAGCAUUGGCUGCAUGUGAGCUAACUCUUCCAACCAGACAAACAUUUACAUCAGACAACUAGAGCCAUGUUCAAUUGUUUUUCUUUGAUCUCUCAGAAAGAAGAUUCAAUCUGCCAAAAGAUAACAGCAUAUCUUUGAAGCCCAUAAUCGGAAAACUAUCUAUCCAUAAAUUGACAAUUCUGCUCAUCAUUACAACUGGAAUAAGCACCAUAGUCGAUCAGAAAUGCGUAUCAAAGCCAAAGGAUUUUUCAGUAACUGGUCUCAAACUGAUGAUCAAUGGCACAAAAAACGUUGCAAGAACAGAAUUAAUGGCAAUUGCAUAAACCUACAGAUUCACUAGUCACCAAAUUCCAACUAACCAAAUUCACAAACCAAUGCAAGAACAUGACUAACAACAAUUUUGAGUUAGAAAGGCACUUACUUUUUAUGACGGCGACCUCUCUUAGGUCCCCAACCUUCAAGCUUAGCAAUAGAGCAACCACACUUUGAUCGGAAAAUCAAAACAGCUCUACCAUUAAGCGGAGCCAUCUUCCUAAGCUCAUCUCUCAAACACUCGUAAUCAGGAUUGCUCUCACUACCUCCUUUCCACGGCAACCGAUCAAUCUCCUUAACCGAACCCGAUUUAACACAUUCCUCUGUCUGUAACUGCAAAUCAAACUCCAUAGCUUUCUUCAAUCCUUUACACUUAGGGUUACGACAUUUCCUCGAUCUUGAUCCGCAGCAUAGGUCUAGAAACGCAACCGACGCCGCGAAGAAGACAGCGAACGCGAAGAAGAACGACACCGGAGGAGAAGGUAUUCCGGAGAGAUGAUGAUCGUCAUCGUCGGAAUCGUGAUCGUGAUCGGAGGAGAAGAAGAUGAGAGGAGGGAUGAGAGAGGAGAAAGAGAGAGCGAUUGAAGGGAAAUGAGAGGAGAGGAGAGAUAAAGAGUGGAUUAGGUAAGAGAAGUAAGAGGAGAGGAGGAAUGUGCCGGAGAAGAGGACGAGGAUUAGGAUUAAGAGGUCGAGGGUCGCCGACGGUGAAUGCUUGCAGAGAUGGAGAGAAGAGGAGGAGCUUUGUUUAGCAGCGGAUCUAGAGGAUGGGGGCAUGCUGGCGGAAGCGUCUUCUGCGGCGGUGGCGGUCGUGGCGGAGACAAGGAGGAGACGGAGCAUGUUAGGAGGAGGAGGAAGACGAUGGCCGCUUUUCUUUACAUAUAACUUUUUAUAUGUAUAGGUUUCGUCAUUUCGGCAAUAAAUUUUAAAAUUUUGAGAAAUUUUUUUUUUUUGUGGAAAUAUAAAGAGUCACGAGAGAAGUAAUAUUAGAAAAAAUAUUCAAUUUAAAAUAAAAAUAAAAAUGUGGAAAAACGAGAAUAAAUUUGCCGACACUUUGCUUCUCGACCGAUAGAUAUAGAAUGUAAUGUAGUAAGAAUUUGAACGAAAUUGUUAAAUAUCAAAAUGUAAAAACAUUAACGUGUUUAGAUGCUUGAUUUACGUAGUUAAGUGGGUUUUUGGAAUUCGUAAAAGCGUUGUUAGGCUCUACAACAGUAUAAGCUUAAGACUGAUUCACGUAAAUGAAUCGAGUCAAAUCUAGUCACGGAUGAAGUGUUUAGGUGUCCAAGAGUUAAGACAGUCGAAGAAGUCAUUAAGUUUUCUUUUUAUCUCCGUCAGUACUUUGAUGAAUUUUUGUUUGUUUACUUGUAGCCAUAAAAAUCGCAUAAGAGAGAACUUUGAAUUCAAUGUGAUAUUGAUUACUUGAUUUACUUCCGACCUUUGGAAUCCGAGUUACAUAGUACUAGUAUUACAUUCGCUCAUUUAAGAUGAUUUAUGAUUUAUUUACAAAAAGGAAACCGGAAUGUGGUUUACGGUGACGGGACAAUCCAGGCUGACCAAAUUUAACAAGAAUGAACCUGCCAUCAAAGAACUAAACCAGCAAAAAAAAAAAAAAGUGUCAACUGUCAAUAACAAUUUUAUGUUAUUUGUUCAAGCAUCUCAAAACCAAAAUCUAGAAUUAAGGAUAUGAGGCUAGUCUCGGGCGGGUUAUGGUAUUGGUCGAGAGUUUUCAAGUUCUUAUCAGGUUCUUGAAACCUGGGAUCAAGCUACAAGUUCUUGCAAAACAAUCCUUGACAACCUACCAAAGCAUGAACCACCAACCGCAGAGAGUAAACAUGUUUAUUGAGUUUCAAAGAAGCUUGUAAUAUACCUUUCCAUUCAUAGCUUCCACAGCCAACUGUGCAUCCUCUUUGCUGUUGAACCAAACAUAUCCAUAUCCUAGAGACUGCUGAGUCUUUUCGUUUAUGAUGAUUUUCACUGCCAACAAAAAAAAUAGUUUAAAGCAUUGUAAGAAAACAAGAUCGUGCUGGCAAAUUCCUUAACCAAAUUAGUGUAUGUUUUACAAUUCUAUGUUCUCCAGCGAAGAAAACCACAAAGACACUACAGAGCGUGUGUGAUGACUGAAACCUCCCUAACUCAAUCCUAUUAGUCUUAACAACUGCUUCAUGAUGACUCGUGUAUACGACUCCUAUCUGAAGCUAAAAAUGUGAUUCCAUUAAAGAAACAGACUCACCAUUGCUAACUUGUCCAAACUCAGAGAAGACUAUCUUUAACCGACCUUCACUAACUGAAUCUGGAAUCCCUGUAGAUCAUUAUAACCCAAAAAAGUGGAUUCAGUUUUGGUAUAAACCUGGCUACAUACAAAAACAGAAAUCAGGCGUACCCUUCACGAAAAUUGAAGUGAUCGAAGUAGAGAGAGAAGAAGAUACUUCUCCAAUUUCAUCAUACGAAUUAGCUCCGGCGACGCAGCUGAUGGUCCGUAGAGGAGAACAGGGUUUGCUUCUCGCCGUUUGAAAUGAAGAAACCAAACGAUAUAUCGGAGUUUCCGUCAUUGAUAGAGUCAACGUUCUCUGAUUUUGAGAUGGUCCAAAGAAUUGGUGAUUGUGUACAGUCGGGAAUGAAAUCGACUGAGAUAGUGCCAUCUCCGUCGAGUAGUAAGUCACCGGCGACAAAACCUUAAGGAGAGAGGUAAAGUUCUACAACACAGUUUUUAGUUUAUUUUCGGCUCAUUAGCUUAUCCAUUAGGCUUAACUGGAAAUUUGGGCCUAAUAUCUCAGCCCAUUUAAAAUGAGUUCAGUUGAUGUUUGCUUGACUGAGAGAGUCACUGACUCACUGGCCAGUAAAUUGUAAAUUUUAAAAAAAAUGUAAAUUCUUUUAGUGGUCGAGAAUUAAGAUUCGUACUUGCUAUUUUAGCUGCUCUAAUUCGCGAUGUUAUUUUCAUAAUUCCACCAAUACCACACGAGAAUAAAGAUUAGCAACUUGUCAUAUAAACAUACUUAAUCAUUAAUUAAUAUUGCCCAUAUAACUUUGUCUUCAGAUUUCAAAGAUGAUGAGACUUAACUGACUAAUGCAUGCAUCUUUCCAAAUAACAGUUUCUUCGAUCGUGUAAGUUAUUCUUUAAUAAAUAAUUCAUUUAGUAUGAAAGUCUUAGCUUUAUAUAAUGACUGAUUUGAAAGUACAUAGAAGUGGAACUUACUUUACUUGGCCUAAAUAAAACUGAGUUAGUCAAAUCACUCGACAAGAAAUAAAAUACAAAACGAAAACAUGGAUUCGCUUAAGAAAAUGAAAAUAAUUCAAGAAUGCCCAUUGAUAUUGAGUUGUUUUCUUUGACGACACGCAUUGAUGCAAAAGCUGUAAGAUAAAUAAAGUAAUAAUUGAAAUGUUAGAAGGAAAAAAAAUAUAUUAUGUUAGGAAGAACAGCUUGUGGCUCGAAUACAUCUAACGUGUUAGACCAAAGCUAUAAUAAUUGAGGCAUUCAAAACUCGUAAGGCAACUUGGCUAAUGGGAAUAGUUUUUGACAUUCAUCACACAUUUUGGUCCAAUUAUUAAAAAUUUUACAAUAUUUAUACCUCAACAAAUGCAAUUUAGUUAUGAAAUAUAAUAAUUUGUCUAUUGGUAGCAUAAUGUACGAAGAACGCGUAUUGGUGGUAGACAAUAAGGUUAACUAUCGUUAGCGAGUUAACAAAUUACAUGUUCUAGUAUAUAUGAUUUGUAUAUAUAUACUCGAAUCAAAUGCGUGCAACUGAUAAGUAGUCAUGGUUUUAAAGUUAAUUUAUCAUUAAAUCACCUAAAUUCAGCUAGUUUUUUUCACACCAAAAAACCUAGUUCGAAAUUGCAUAUUUGUCCAAUUGUCACUCUAGUCUGAUUUAGCAUGUAGCAAUUGAUAAACAAGAAUUUUACGAUGCAGCCAGUCACAAACUUGAAUAUCGGGUAAUUCAACUACAUGCAUGAAAUUCCUGUAUGACAGAUGAACUGCAUGAAAGAUAGAAUAAACUACGUGAGAAAUGAAACUAAACCGUUUACACAUCCCAACAAGGCAACAAUCAUAAAUACAUAGAUGUCAUGUUUUAGAUAACAAAGAUGUGCAUGGAAGUUAGUGGAAGACUGAGAAUAGUAGAUAAUAAGAUAAAUUGUUUUCACAUUUAGGUAUGUGGGAUCGAAUUAUUCUAACAAUAGCAUCUUUUUUUUUUCUUUUUUGUCGUCAAACAAUAGCUUCUUUAAGAAAUUCGGUGAUUGGUAUUGGUUGUUUUCCGUACACACAUGUAUCUGUUAUAUUGUAAGGAUUUUUUUUUUCUUGGGGUCAAGAAUAUAAGGUUAAUUAUAGAAAAUAAAGCUAUGCCAAUUUGUUAGAAUUCAAGGUCAAGCGAGUUUUCAUAUUUUGGGUAAGAGAUGGAGAGAAACGGUGUGUGGCGGUGGCCGGUGGGGGUAGUAGUGGGCACAUCAAACUCACACAAGAAUCUCUUCCUUUGGAAUAAUAUUAAGAUUUGAUUAUACUAAUGUUUUCUUCUUAUGGACAAAAGCCAGAUGUAUUAUUAUGUCUUAAUUAAUCCAUAUUCGUCUUUGUUAACGAACUUGAUAAAUAGAUAGUAAAAGGCUAAAAAGAUUAUCCAUGAAACAUGAAUUUUGUUUUUAUAAACAGCCAAAAACUAUAUAAUGGACAGAGACAACAACAAAUCAUAAAACAAAACACUAAUUAAGAGCCGUUUGAUUGAAUUAUUAUUUAGUAGUAACCACAUCACGUCACAACUGGAGGACCCAAACACACGUAUCGGACGGCAACACGCCGUUCCAAACUUAAACUCUUUGUUUAGUCCGUUAGAUCCCUCUUUAUUCUUUUUCUUAUUGAGCUAAACCGCGUUGACCAACGACAUCUUUUGUCUUAUAUAGCCUAUAUAGCCUAAUCCACCGUAUAAACCGUACACUAUUCCGGACCAGAUCCUAGCCCUAUAAAGUACCUAUACCGGAAAAUAAAGAAACCACAAGGGAACAACUGUUCUGCGUCCGCCCCGCGCGUGCGCUUCAGUUCCCCUCAAAACCGAUUUUUGUUUUUUUCCCGUUAAACCGGAAGACACUUUUUUUAGUUGUGUAAUGAAAACGUCACCAUCUUCUCCGAGACAGUGUCGACCCAUCUCGCCACCUGGCAUUAUCAUGGCUUGGUUAUAUCCUUUUUCCGACCAAUCUCGCCACGUGUCAUUUAUUGUGGCUUUUUCCGCUCUUAAACUUCCCUUUUUUGUCAUAUAUAUAUAUUUUCCAUCUGUUAUUUUUUUUGUUUCACCGUGAAAUCGCUGCCACGGCGGCUGGGAGCGGCGGAACGGCCGAGAUCUCUGGUAGGAGAAUAUCGUUGCGGUCCAAAUGGUGGUCUUCGCUGUAGUUUAGGAACCUAUCGACGGCCAUUGCGCACGGGCGAGCCACCGUGUUCUCCCAAGCCUCGUCCGCUUCUUCUCCUCUCCUGAGGAAAACCUCCGUCGCGUCGACGCGGUGCAUGUUCCAUUUCCACUGCUUGUAAAGCCUCUGAAUCUUCUGUAAUUGACGGCACGCAAGCAAACAGUUGUUCUCUUUAAUUUUCUUGAUCGCUGUUUCAAGAAGUCUUUCCGUCGUCUCCGCCGGAUAAUUCCUCAUCUCCGACCGGAGAAAUUCGUCUAGCUCCGGGACUCCGAUGGCACGGCGAAUCCCGGCGGAGUAAUCAGAAGAGGACGGAUCAAAGAUGCGGCGAACCUCGUCGACGAGUCCCAUCUCAACCAUCUUAUCGACUCGCUCCGAGACAAACGAGUGUAAAACCGGUUUUGAGACGUCAACCCACAAGAAACAGCAAUUGUACCUUAACCGGAAGUCAACGCAAUCGUUGACCAAAGCCUCGAUGUAAGAAUUAGAACCACCGGCUAUGAUGGGGACACGAUCUCUCUGGACGAUGGACUCGACGGCCCUGAUCGCUUCCCUUUGGAAAUCCUCUGCCGUGAAAUCUUGGUAAGUGUCGUGGACGGUGCCGAGAAGGUGGUGAGGGACGCCGAGGCUUUCCUCUGGAGUGACUUUGUUGGUGACUAUGUCGAGACCUUUGUAGACUUGGAUCUUGUCGGAGUUUACGAUCUCCGCCGGAAAACGAGUGGCCAAGUCGAUGGCGAGACGGGAUUUACCGGUUCCGGUGGCUCCCAUGACGAAAACGACCUUGUCUUUUCGCCGGAAAAACGGAACGUCGACCAUGUUUCCUUGGAAGUUUAACAAUGGUUGAUGAAUCACUUGUCUUAGAGUCGCCAUGCAUGGCUUCAUUCUUAUAAAAACUUCCCCUGCUGGAUAAAUUUUAUAUAUAAUUUUAUAUUUUAAAGACAGAUCUAAUUAGAAAGAAAGCAUAAUAACAUGCAAAUAGAUUCGUUUGGGGUCAAAGUUGAGACACCGUUCCCGGAUUUUACUAACCUUGAAGUGGCUUGUUCCCCGGAGCACUGUCUCUUCCCUGUCAAUCGCUAUAACAAUAUAAUCUUCUUUUUUUCUUGUUAAUAAAUGUAAGUAGAGGCAAGUUAAAGAUUCUAGCUCAGGUGUGUAUGUGAUAGUUACUUACGUAUGCAUGAUAUAAUAUAUAUAGAGAUACUGAAACUAUGAUCUUUGCUCUCUCAACCAGCAUAUGUUGAUGAAGAAAGAUCGGGGCUUCGAAGAAUUUAUAGUGGCUGGAAUGUUACAGUGACAUGCUGUUCGUUUUGUUUUUAUAUAUAUUUUUACAGACACUUGCUCCAUAACACGUGUCUCAAAAUGAUACAUACAUAUAUCACUACAGGUCUACAGCUUCACUAAAGAAUCAUUGAGUGUGAUUGGUUCUGUCACUAAUUAGUAUAACGAAAACAACAAAAGUGAUUUAAGUUUGUUUCUAUCGUCGAAACAACUCUGAUGGUGCCUCUUUGAAGACAUCUGAACUGUUUCUUUAGCAUCUACGACAGUGAAUCUAUAGCUAAUUGUUCAAAACCAGCAGGCAAGCUAAAGAAAAAAACAAAAACAAAAAUUCUAAACCAUUUUCUAAAGUUUUUCGAGAAAAUAUUUGCUCGAUAGAAGAAAUCUCAAAUACCCUAGCAUGUUUGAUUGGACCUUAUUAACAUACGAAUAUAGAAAUAUAAUUUCAAAGUUAGUGGAAUCAACUAAAACUAUAUUGGUUAUGCGAUUUCUGACUCGAAUAAAUUAAGGUCUCGAAGCUCUUUUAUUGUUUUUGGCUUUCGGUAUUUCGCUUUUUCUUAUUUGGCUUAUUCCCAAACACCCAUUUUGUUUUUUUGUUAAUUGCCACUAACUCUUCUUAAUUGAAAUGUUUAAACAUGUAUAUAGUACAAUGUUACGGGUGUUUACUGUUUAGGUAAACAAAACAUUGAAAACUUUUGAUGGAAAAAUCACAUCAAUAGCCUAUCAAACCUAAAAGCUCUUAGAACAAAAAAAUUAUUCCUCCAGAUUUGAUUGAAAUUUAUAGAUUUGAAGCACUAUUUUUUUUUUCUUUCAUAUGCCUAGAAUCACAAAAAUUAAUGAAUACUUAAUAUUCUAAAAGUUUUUAAACGUAUAAAGAUGUGUUUUGUUAGGAAACUGAAUGUGACCAUGCAUGCAAAAAAUGAAUCAAAUAGUACAAGAUUCGUUUGCAAUUCACUUCAUAUAUUUUAUAUACCAAGAAAACAAAUAUGAAAAAACCAACCCAUCACUGGAACUUAGAAAAGAUAACUACUCAAAACUUAAAUAACCUGAUACAAAUCUUAUGAGAAGAGACAUAAUUCAUAUAAAAAUCAUUUUGUACGAGUGUUCUUAUCAUUAAGACAAACAUAGAUUAUAUCAUAUAUGAUGAAUUGAAGUUAGUGGGUUGGACUAAAUUUAUAUUUUGAUUUGACGUUUAGUGUAUGAAUAAAUUAAGAUAUCAUAUUGGGUUAACCUCUAACGAUAAAAUUGAUGAUGUAUAGUGUCGUUCAAAUUUUUCGAAACAAUGUUUAUCGAUUACAAAGUUUAAUAGUUACAUGCACGCUUGUUAUUAUAAAAAAAAAGUAUAUCAUAAGAAAAAAUAUUCCAUUUUUAUGGCCUCAAGGACCAACCAAAAGCCUCUAAGGUCAGACUUUGAGAUUUGAUUGGCCAUUGACCACGUCGAGUUUUUUUCUAUCUUUUUUUUUUCCGAUCGAAGAAGUCCCUCACGUGGGUCACCACUAUAAGAGAAUAUAACAAAGUUAAUAUAUAAUAUUGAUGGUUGUUGUGCAAAUAUUACAAUGAAAAAUGUUUAGUAAUGCAUCGGAAAAAGAUUAGAUAAAAUAAUCAUAUUUUUCUCAAAAAAUACUGCCUGAAAGAAUGUAAAAACUCAAUGAAAAGUUAUACUAAUUAACUUGUUGCAUAGUUUACCAAGAAAAUAAUGGUGAUAUAUAAAAAUUAUAAUCUACAACUCAUGCAUGCAUAAUAUAUCUUGUAUUGAAUAUUUAUGUACCAAUUCUAUACAUAUAUAUACUCAAUAUACAUUAUAUCUUAUUUUGCACAAUGGAAUUAUAUAUAUGCAAAUAUAUAUAUGCAUAGUGUUAAUUCUAGAAAUGACAUGCAUGGUCGAAGUAGGGGUUGACGUAAUGUUGAAAUAGAAUUUUAAUAAAAUGUCUACCGGUUGACAAGAAAACAAAAACAAAAAACUAAGUGACACAAAUAUAUAUAACUCCAAACAGAAGUGGGGCUGUUUAUGGAGGGUAAUAUUAUAUAGCUUUCAUGAAGCAAUUAUAUAAUAUACUUUAAUAUGAUAAAUAUUGAUUUUAUUUAUGGUAGUUUAUAGCCUAAUGGUAUAAUAUUAAACUAUUAAUAACAAUAAUUAUGAUGGUGUAGUUGCAGAUUAAAGUAUCCAAAAAUACAAAAUGGGUAUAGUCAACUUUAGCUAAAAGAAAUGGCUCUAAUGGAUUCCUACAUACACUAAAUAUUUCGUUAAUAAGGGUCUAUGUUUAAUCAUCCAUCAUAUAAAAAACGUAGCAAUCACGAGGUGACAACAAUUUUAAAGUAUCUAUUAAUUUUCAACAAAGCUACGAGCAAUGGAAUUUGCUUUUCUUUGUGAAGACAAAAAAAAAAAAAGUUUGUUCGAUGCUUAAUUAAUCACUAUUAACAUCGAUUGAUAUAACAAGACGGUGGAUCAUCAAAAGUCAUUAUGGCCAUUGAAAUAAGUAGCUAAAGAGAGAACCUUUUGGUAGUAAUAUUACUCGACGAAACGUAUAGAAAAUAACUAAAGCAGUUUAUAAGUUAUGUCUUUGUAGUAUUAACUAAACAUUUCAAUCGUAAAUAGAACAACUGAACAACCAUCUUCUUCACUCAUAAUUCAGUAUUGACCAGAUUUUUUGACUUAAAGCUUACACAUGUUAAUUAGGUUAUUCGAACUUAUAUUUUUGGGUAAGAAAAGGUGUCCGUACACUCGUUAAAAAGAAACAUAGAUUUGACAUUGAUAGCUAUUUAUUCUCUCGGAAUUUUCUUUUUCCCCUAUUCUUUUAAGUGUUUCUUCUUCUUCUUCUUACUUCUUAGGUAAGGGGCCAAUGCCGAGGACUUUACCACGACCCUUUAUUCUUUUAAAAAAUAAAAAAAUUCGAGGUUUUAUUCGCUUCAACAGUAGUAAUAUUUACAGUUAUCAAAAUUUUAUAGAAAAAAACAAAAUAUUGAUUAAAAUUAUUAGAUUAGAGUGCCCCUUUGAAAAUUAAAAAUGUUAUCAUGGUCCAAAGUGGAGAUAGGGUUUCUCAUAUUUUAUAACAAUUUUUUUGGAAUCCAUUUGGGCCUAUGAGGCAUAAGAAUAAAUACAUAUACAAGCAGACAAAUUAAGUAAUAAACAGAUUGAGAAGAGAAUGAACAAAGAUAUUCCUUUAGGAAGCUCAACUAGGAGCCUAGGGCUCUUAUACAUUUGUAAUUAUAUUUAGUUACUUACAGUAAAAUGGUUUGAAAUGUUUUUUAUCAGUGGUUAAGAUUGUGAAAAAUGUAAAAAAAAAUCAUUUGAAUUUAUAGCCAAUCAAUAUUUUCGUCAAUGAAGAACUUACCAUAAGCUUAUAGCGAUAUCCAUAAUCUCCGUCGAUAAGCCAUGUAUAGUUGUUGGAUAGAACUUGCAAGUGUUGUUCCUCCGCCGCACGAAUGUAAACUAGAUAAAGAUAGGUAGUAGAAUAAUAAUCCAGUCUCCCAUUUUAGUUAAUACAUAUAUUUAGUGGUAGUGGUACUAAAAACAAAUGCAUGCAUACGUACGAAGAUGGUAAUAUGUAUUUUGGACCAUAAAAUUAAAGAAAGAUAAUUUUAAUUUCUACAUGUGUAGUCAUUUGCAAAUGAUUACUCGACCACAACACGGUUGCUUUUGGAAUCACCAACUUUUGUAAAAUAAAGAUAAAAUUACACCCAUUAUGUUUGGAUUUGAUAGAGUAUUCGAUAAUGGACGUUCAUAUAAAUUAGAAAGAAUUACAUUAUAUACGUAACAUAGUUAGAUUCGGACGCACGUAGCAUUUAUCUUCACUCCGAUUCGUGUUUCUAUGAAUAUAUUUCCAAUAUCAUUAUCAAAAGGAGUUCAUUAGCUUUGGUCCUUUUCUUGAAAUAUACAACCAAACAUGGAUCAGAGUUUUUAUACUUGUGUGUGUUGUUUUCUUCUUCUAAUCAUACUUACCAUAGAAAUAUUCAAGUUUCAUGAUUAACAACUACAAUACCGCUGAUACAUUUUUUUUUUUUAUUGCUUACUACAAUACCGCUGAUAAAUAUAUUAUCAUUGUAUGUCAAAAUCUUUUAACUACUCACAAUAAUAAGAAAAUUAUGUGCCAAACUGCCAAGUGCCAAUAACUAAAAGAUUAAACAAAACUAAAGAAGAAGAAGAGAAAAAUUAAUAGUUAGUUCACUAGUACGUAUGGGAAAAUUGUUGGCGACUUGGCGUGAUAUGGGAAAUUUCUGUUUUCUCAGAAACCAUACUAGUGAACUCUGAAUCAUACAUUUUGUUUUGUCGGAUGGAUUAGGCUUUGUAUUUUAUACAAGUCACACACACUAGUUUAUAUGGCUUACGAGGUAACAAUAUAUGUCAAUAGAUGGGCCUAGUUUGUUUAUCUUAUUGGGCUUUACAAAGAAAUUAUACAUUGAAAAUUGGAUACCAAAAUAGUUUUCAUCUCAGAUUCUCAGGCCCUUUUUUUUCAUUAUCAGGCCUUAUUGUAAGUUAAAAAAAAAAAAAAAAUUGAAAUGUCAAAUAAAAAAUUAUUAUCAAAAAUUCAUACACAUACAUCAUCAUCUCACAACAUAAUAUUAUAAUUAUCAUUAUGAGCCAUCGUAAUUGUCUAAUUGAUGAUAGUAAGUAGACUAAUUAAAUGUUUAGACGUUACAUGUUUACCAACGACUUUCUCUGACCACGCGCAUGACGGCGCGUGCACUUCAGUCUCUAAAAGCUUCAUUUCAUUUUUUUUUGGUCUCAAGAACGAAAUCUGAAACCGCCACACACAGUCAAAAAUGUCUCUCUCGCUUACCUCUUCCUCCGCCGCUGCUGCUACCGCGGCGGCUUCGACAUCGGGAUCAUCGUCUUCUACGGCGACAGUUUCUUCACCCUCCACGACCACGUCCUGGUUCUCCGGAAUCGUUCGCGGCCGUGGUGACAAAUCCGGCACCGCGAAGCUAUCCAAAAGCUCUUCGAUGGCUGGAGGUGGAAGCGGAAGCGGAGAUUACGGUGGUCCAAUCAAAGGGAAAAAUCAAUUUCGUGGGGUUCUGUUUAAAUACGGUCCCAAAUCCAUUCAGGUUCUCUUCUUCAUUUCAAUUUGUUUAAAUUGUGUUGCUUUUGAGUUCCAUCAAAGCAAAAAGGGGAAACUUUGAUAUUUUAUAAUACAUUCGUAGCUCAUGGUUUACUUAAACUUAAGUAGCUUGUUCUAGAUUUCUCAUUAAUUUAUACAUUGUUGUGUUUGUUUCAAGACAGUUUUUGGCAAACGAUUGUGUUCAUCACACGCUUGUUUUCCUCACUUUGACUUUUUUUUUUCAUGUCCCAAAUUGGUACCUUGUUUAAUGAUCAUGUUGCUUGAGGUUUGUUUAUUGAAUAAUUAAGGAAAAUCAAUGAGAUACUAGAUGAUCCAAGCCAUGUGAGAGACCUUGGUUUCAUGUUUUACAUCAUUUGAGCUGACUAGUUAUAGCAGCAGUGAUCAAAGUUUACAAAUUACAAUGAUCGUUCCUUUCCGAAAACUCAGAAUGGAUGUUACUUGAGAUUUUGCUGAUGAGAAUUCUGGUAGUAACAACAGCUUGCUUGUCUGUUUCACGUGUAUCUCUAGGUGGCUUUUAAGACGGGAGAGUAUAAGCAACAAGUGAUAUUUAUCGGUGGAUUAACCGAUGGACUUUUAGCUACUGAGUAUGUGGCUUCUCCUUUUUUGAUAUAAAUUUUUAUCCUUUGGCAUGAAUUGCCUAUCCAAUCUCAUUUUUUUCAUGUAUAUUAAUUGAUAGAACAUUCACAAAUUGGCCGUUUCAGUUACUUGGAACCUCUUGCAAUUGCUUUGGAUAAAGAAAAGUGGUCACUCGUUCAACUAUUGAUGUCGUCUUCAUAUUCUGGAUUUGGCACUUCCAGCUUGAAACAAGUAAAUAUUUUCUUGCCUUGUGAUAUUGUUAGACUCUGGGGAAAAGCCAAGAAUUUCUCCAUUCAGCAAUUUAGUUAACAGUACAUCCUUGUCCCUUUUGAUGAAGGAUGCUCAAGAGAUCGACCAGCUAAUAAAUUAUCUCAUCAACAAAGAGAACUCCGAGGGUGUUGUUCUGCUCGGUCAUAGCACUGGCUGCCAGGUGAUUGGUUAUGCUCCCAAACAGUUUUCCUCAUGGUUCUGUACUGUAAGAAAAUUUAUGACAGAAACUCUUUCUUCUCGCACUGUGAAACAGGAUAUUGUGUACUAUAUGGGAACAAAUGCUGCAUGCUCCCGAGCUGUCCGAGCUGCAAUUUUGCAGGUGUUAGUUAGGCCUUGAAGUUGGGUCUUGUGUUGUGUGCUGUAUCAUAUGUUUGACUUUAGUUCAUAUUGCCAAUUGCAAUAUUUCUAUGUAGGCACCAGUAAGCGAUAGAGAGUAUAAAGCAACGCUUCCUGAAACACCAACUAUGAUAGACUUGGCUGCAAACAUGAUAAAAGAAGGUCGAGGAGAGGAGCUAAUGCCUAGAGAAGCUGAUCCUUGUGCUCCAAUCUCUGCGUACAGGUAAACCUCUAUAUGUCUUUGAACAUGGAAGAAAUGUGUUUUAAACAUGUCUAGAUACAAAAAAAUUAUCCUUUGCGCGUCCUGCAGAUAUCACUCCCUCUGCGCUUACAUGGGGGAUGACGAUAUGUUUAGUUCUGACCUUAGUGAUGAUCAGUUGAAAACUAGACUUGGGCAUAUGGCUAACACACCUUGUCAGGUAAAACAAAACCGCAACCAAAAAACAACCAUCUCAAGCAUUUCCAGUCCCGAUUAACAGAACUGUUACUUGUGGUGGUAAAUUGGGCACUGAUAAGCUUAUUAUAUCAUCUAAUGUCCUGUAUCUACGCAGGUGAUUUUCUCCAUGGGUGAUGAGUAUGUACCAGAUUAUGUCGACAAAAAGGCAUUGGUUAAUAGGUGAGGCCAUUCAACUAAAGUAACAAUAAGAAUCUAGAACUGAUGAUACAAGGAUGUUGUCUUUGUGUUCAUCUGUUAGGAAUCUAAGCGAAAAUAGGAGAACUAUUGAUGGAAACUUUGGAUGAAAAUGAUAUGGAAAUGAUUGCACAUGAACAAACCAAUCAUAGAUGAAUGAUAAUAUCUGUGUGAUUUACAGAUUAAGUAAAGCAAUGGGUGGGGCAGAGAAAGUGGAGAUAGAGCAUGGGAAUCAUUCUCUCUCCAAUAGAACUCAUGAAGCUGUUCAAGCCAUUAUUGGUUUUGUUAAAAGAGAAGGACCCAGUGGUUGGGAUGAUCCUUGGAGCUAAAUCUGAGUUUUGGAUUUAUGUGGAUGAAACUUAAAAUUCAAAUCUGAAUAUUGACUUCCUGGCUGAUUAAUAAUCAUUUCUCCAUAAAAAGUAAAUUUUACUUUUCAUUCUGUUAUAUAAUCCUCGAUUUCUUUUUUGUUUUUUGCUUUGUUUUGUCGUGAACCAAAAUUGUUUACUUGUUAUAUAAUCUUCGUUCUUCAAUAUGCCUUGUGUUGCUGAGUCCACAAAUUCAGCUUGAACAUGAAAAAAUCUGAAUCAGUAAGCAAUCAAAAGUAUAAGGUAGAUGACAGAAACACAACAUAUCCCAAGAAACUAUCACCGAAUUUCACUUGUUAAAGGAUAGGAUAAUAUCAGAAAUUUCCAUUCUUAUAGAUAUAAAUGUCAAACUUAUACCAAUAUAUAUUUAUUUCCUUUUUUUGCUAAAUAUUUAUACCAAUAUUCCCAAACUAAGAUAAAUAUGUAGAUUCUUUGUUUAGCAAAAACAUAAAGGUUGAUUUUUCAAGUCUAAAAAAAGAUUAAGACGAUAAAAAGGAUUAAGACGAUAAACAGGAAUAAGAUGGUUCACUUUUAGCAACAAAUUUUCAGUUAAAAGAAAAGAAUUUCUUCAGAGAAGCAUUAUGGCAGCCCAACAAAACUAAACUGUGAAUUUUUAAUUUAGAAAGUUUAUAAUCUCAAAUCUAAAUUUCUCUAAAUUAACUUUUAUUUUCGGCAAAAAAAAAAAUAGUGAGCGGCGGUCCGACAAUGACCAAACAAACAAGACACGUGACGCCAACAUAUUGUCUCUAAAAUCUCACCGUACACUACACGGCCGAUUAAAGAUUUAACCAGAUAGUGUCCGCAAUGCUCCCAAACGUCACGCCGACGCGACUACUAAACACACGCUUCCUUAGUUGGCGCGAUCAAUCACACACCGGUUCGGAGCUACGACACGGGGUAUAAUCGUCUGUACAUAAAAUUUGUCUCUUCCGCAACUCCAUAGAGUUCUUUCAUGCCGACCAAUCCCUAAAUUCUCACCUACAGUAAUUAAUUACUUUUUGUGGACUUCUAAUGUUUUUUUUUUUUUCUUCUUUUCUCGAGAAAUAUCGAAACUGAGAAAACAAUUACUCGAGAGUAUCCAACCUUGGAAUUCGCUGUGUCGUCAAAUUUGAUUUCUUUCCUAUUGUCGUCAUCUUCUUCCGAUGCCAGAGAAAGUAGUGAUUCCGUCUCCGGCGCUGAGUCAUCUUCAUCAAUGGAGCUUAGGCGCUCUAACAUCACUCGUCUUCUUCAUAAUGGUUGUCGUAUGGAGCAUUGACGGUUGUACACUCAAAAGCUUCAUCGAAUCGUGGAGAUUCAACUCUUACUCCAUGCGACUCACUUCUCCUGCUUCACUGAAACCAAAACCUCAUCCUCUUGUUCUGGAUCCGACCCGGGUGAAGCUUUCCUGGAUCUCCGUCGAGCAAGAGCAGAACUUCACGGCGAAUUUUCUCAGAAACUGGUUGGCUCCGGGAGGAGAGAAGUGCAGAGAAGCAGAAACUGUCGAGAUUCAAGUUCCGGGAAUCGACGGGAUGGAUUUAGUUGAGUUAACGGCUGGUAAGAUUCACGAUUUCAGAUUUCAGUCUUUAGACGUUUAUGGGAAACGAGUUUGUAUCAGUGGAGAUUACUUCGAGACUGAUCUCUCCGGCGAAAACUGGAAAUCGAGACCACCGGUGAAAGAUUUAGGAAACGGAACUUACUCUUUAUCUCUUCAGGUUCAUCCUGAUUUCGCCGGAGAUUACAAUCUCACCGUUGUUUUGCUCUUUCGUCACUUUCAAGGUCUUAAACUAAGCCCCGCGCGUUUCGCUUUCGAUAGAAAGCUACGUAGUUUCAGAUUACGGUUUAUCAAGAAACCUGACGUUGUUUUGCCGGAGCUUCGAAGAUGUGUUCGGUCUGAUUUCGGCAGAGACGUUUGGUCUGGUCGGUGGGUUAGGCUUGGUAAGAACGAGGAAUGCGAAAUCAGCAACGACGGACGGUACCGUUGCUUACCGGCUAAUUUCCCUUGCCGGAGACCAUGGUGUGGUGGAGCUUUAGCUGACUUAGAGAGCAAUGGUUGGGUUUACUCCAGCCAUUGCUCGUUUAAGCUCUUCUCAGGCGAAUCAGCUUGGGAUUGUUUGAAGAACAAAUGGAUCUUCUUCUGGGGAGAUUCCAACCAUGUUGAUUCGAUUAGAAACUUGUUGAAUUUUGUUUUGGGUCAUCCGGAGAUUAGGGCUGUGCCGAGGAGGUUUGAUUUGAAGUUCUCGAAUCCGAAGAACUCGUCCGAAACAGUGAGGAUCACGAGUAUCUUCAAUGGACACUGGAACGAGACUCAAAACUAUCAAGGUCUUGAUUCACUUAAAGAUGAGGCCUUUAGAGAAUUGCUUAAAAGCUACUUCGUAGAAGAGACCGGUGUACGAGACUUAAUGAUCGUUAACUCGGGUCUACACGACGGCGUUCACUGGUCUAACCUUAGAGCGUUCACAAAAGGAGCAGAAACCGCGGCUGCCUUUUGGAGAAGCGUUUUCGACUCGGUGAAAGCUCGCGGAUUCCGCCCGCCUGAAGUGAUUUUUAGGAACACUAUUGCCACAGGCGGUUACGCGAGGUUGCUUGCGUUUAACCCGAGCAAGAUUGAAGUGUACAAUGGUGUGUUUUUGGAGAAAAUGAAGGAACUAGGAUUAGUCUCGGGUGUGAUUGAUAACUUGGAUAUGACUUAUCCGUGGCACUUUGAUAACCGGUGUAACGAUGGGGUUCACUACGGGAGAGCUCCAGCAAAGAUGCGGUGGAGAGAUGGCGAGAUUGGGCAUCAGUACUUUGUGGAUCUCAUGCUUGUUCAUGUCUUGCUAAAUGCAGUUUGUGUAAGAUAAAAAGAGUAGAGUAGAGAGAGCUGUUUUAAGUUUUAGGAGCCUAGGAGAUUCUUUUAUUUCUCUUCUCUAGACUUUCUUGAUUAUGUUGUAUAAAUACAUUUGGUAUGUUAGUCAAAGCCGAAAUACAAAAAUAAUCCGUUUACACACCAAUUUUUUUUUACUUGAUCAUUGAAUUUUUCUUUGAAUAGAGUUCGUCAUUGGUAUAAAUUUUUCUAAUCACAUAAUGAUGUUAAUGUGUCUAUUUAUCAUAUUUUAUACGAAUUAUAUAAAGAAAUGAUAGACCAUCACAUUUGUAAUCUUAUUGAUGAAGUAAUUUUGGAAUUUUUAAAUGGAUGAAUCAUGAAAUAUAACAUCUCGUGGCUUCGUGCCACUUAAUGUCAUUGUUUUUCUUCAUUAUGAAGGUCAAACAUAUAUUUUUUUUUGGGUUAAAUGUCAUCUAUUUUAUAUAUAUAAUCCAAAACGACCAAACCACACUGCCUAAACGCGGUCACUAAUUUAAACAUAUGGGGAUAAUUAUAUUUGUUUCAUUCUUUUUAAAAAUCUAGAAAUAAAAAACUUUUAGGUUACAAGAGAAUAAACUUAUUUUUUUUCUUAUUUUAAUCCUAUUUAGUUUUUAAAUAACACAAUAAUAAUAAUAAAAAACACAGAUAUUAUCGAAAUCGAAUAAGUCGGUACGCGCCACGCGGUUUAAUGUAACCAGUCCACACACAGUUCUGAUAAUGCUCUUGUCUCACGCUAAACAUGGAACUCUCCAAACCAAAUCAAUUACAAUUGAAUUGAAUCCAUCCUCAUCACGAAAACGAAACCUUCCCCAAAAAACAUUUCCUUUGUCCUUUUCCGUUUCAGAGAUUAGAUCAUCUCAAAGGCAAGCAGCACCAAAAGUUUAUUCUACAUCGUCACGAUUCGCGUUGCUGUUUUUACUUUUGUCGGAAAAAUUCUUCGCUUUUGUCGCAAUUCUCAAUUAGCUCGCUUUGUCAAACAAAAACAACCAAUAGAUCCGGCAUCGCCGUGUAAUAGUCGCCGGAGGCGAUUUCAGCGUCGUAAGGUCGCCGUUAAUGGCGUUAACGUGGGGAUCUGCGCUUCGGAUUUCGGUUCUCCUUAUCCUUGUAGCUGCAAUUGUCUUAGCUUGCUAUUUUCUCCCCGUUGAGAAGGUCCGUGGUUGUCCAAAUUAGGGGUUUUCCUGAUAUGGGGUUUUGUUGGUAUUGGAUGCUCUCUGUGAAAUUCUCAAUCUUUUCUUUGGAUUCCUGGUUAAAAUGUCGCCUUGAAUUGUCUCGUUUGAGGUUUCGUAGCAAUGAAAGGAUUGAGCUUUGCAGUAUGAUAUGUGUGUAUGCGUGGCUGAAUUGAAUUGAUUAGCAAAAGCAAAUGUGCGAGUAAAGCUUAUAGAUUUUGUCUAGAUAGUAUCUUUCCUUUUUGAAUUCCUCUCAUUUUGGAGUAUUGUAGGUUUUAUGGUUUGAAACUUACUAUUCCUUUUGGUACUUUUUUCAGCUUUUGAAGGAUUUUUUGUUAUGGGUUGAACAAGAUCUAGGGCCUUGGGGACCUUUUGUCCUGUAAGUGACUCUUCUUCUUGUUUCUUGGGAUACGAAGCUUACUUGAUUCUUGCGUGAAAUUGUAGCAAUGAGAUACAGCAACAGUAAUGGCUGUAGCUUUACAACUGUUUCAUAACUAAUGUUGUUUAUCCAUAGAUUUUAACAAGUCUAUGCACUUAAAACUUCUAGAAAUUUAGGGACAUAAGAGUUAGGAGGCCUUUUUGAGCAGGUUGUUUACCUCGGUACUGAACUUGUCUUUCUUUUGUAAUAUUUGCAGAGCUGUUGCAUACAUUCCUCUAACAGUUUUGGCUGUUCCUGCCUCGGUUCUCACGGUAUAUACAUUAUGAUUCUUUUUCUUUUGUGUGUGAUAUAUUAUGGCUUCUAUCCACUUUGAGAGUUUAUCUUCUUUGAGAGUCACAGGUUUGUUCUGUAAAUGUGAGAUAUCAUAUUUGGUUGAAUUUUGUGCUAUUCAGAUCGGUGGUGGCUACCUUUUUGGGCUGCCAAUUGGUUUUGUGGCGGACUCAGUCGGUGCUACACUUGGCUCAGGAGCAGCAUUUCUUCUAGGCCGUACAGUAAGCGUCUCAAUGAUCUUAUGUAGUUAGAAGAUAUGCAGACAGACGCUAUCUUUAUUUUGUUUGGAACUUACAUUGUAAAUGCACUUAUGCAGAUUGGAAAACCUUUUGUAGUUGCAAAAUUGAAGGAUUAUCCUCAGUUUCAAUCGGUGGCACUCGCGAUUCAGAAAUCUGGUUUCAAGGUUUGCACCUUAAACCUACGAAGAGUGAAUUUUGUUGUUGUGCUGUCACUCUUUUCUUACUAAUGAAUAUGCAAAACUGAAUGUAGAUAUGCUUGCUGCUACGGCUUGCUCCUCUCCUCCCCUUCAGCAUGUUGAACUACCUCUUAUCUGUAACUCCAAUUCGGCUAGGCCCAUACUUGCUUUCUUCUUGGUUAGGGAUGAUGGUAAUCUAAUCUACUCCACCUCUCUACCACCACUGUAAAAUGUUUUUGAUUGUAAGAUCAAAAGAAUACAUCUUGACACAUUAUUAAUUUGCAGCCAAUAACGCUUGCGCUAGUGUAUGUCGGAACAACUCUUAAAGACCUUUCUGAUGUGACUCACAAGUGGAGGGAGUUCUCGCUAAGUCGCUGGGUAAGAUUUGCACAUAUAUUCUCAACUUCUUGUUUCAAUCUCUUUCUGACCUGUGUUCUGCGAUUUGCAGGCGAUCUUGAUCUCGAGCCUUGUAAUAUCAGGUUAGUUCGACGAUUCCUAGAAUUCAUUUUCACCAUAAUAAGAAUCUUUAACAAACAGCUAAUGCACAGAAUCACUAAUGUCUCUCGUUUCUUCUUUUAUUUGCAGUGAUAUUAAUGGUCUGUGUUACGAAGGUGGCUAAGGACGCUCUAAGAAAAGCAUUAGCAGAGCACGGAGGAGACAUGAACGAAGCGGUUGCAGCCUCACCUGAGCUGACCGUUUCUGAAGAUGCUACGACGGAUCUAAACGAGCCUCUCUUAAUAAAGAUAGAUGCUCAACAACCUCAGGACCAAGAGAAAACCAUAGUCCUUAAGUAAAGCUACUGAAUACUUUGUAUAAUAAUAAUCUAUAUCUUCAACCUUACAAAGCAUAGUUUUUUCUUGAUUUGUAUAAUAACAUAGAUAUAAAAUUAUUUUCAGAACAAAAUUUGUUUUUUCUUUUGACAUGUAAAUUAGUUCACAGGAAUUUAAAAUAUUAGAUGAACAAAAAUAAAUGAAACGAGUUUGGGGAUGUAGUUUUCUUUAGUUUUGUAUUGUUCUAACUUCUCCAAUAAUAUCUAAAAUAUAUAAUUCAGUAACAUAAUAUUCAAAGUUAACAUAGUCAACAAUAGAGUUGAUAUUUUACUAAUCAACACAUUAUUUAUGUAUUUAUUAUAAUUUUUAAGAGGAAGAAGAAAGAGUCAUGUCUCUUUCGGUCAAGUCCCUUCGGGAAGAACUUGAAGAAAGGUUACAAUUUACACGCACCGCACGCAUUGACUUUAUAACACAAAAAUUGGCAGUAAAUCCGGCGGUAAGUUUAACUGUGUGAGUAAAAGAGUUUAAAAGCUAUGUUCUUUUUUGGUCCAAAAAAAAAAAAAAAGCUAUGUUCUUCUUUUAUUUUUUGGUAAUACAAUGUUCUAAGUAACAUAUAAAAAUCUUUGAUCUGACUUCUUCUCUUACAAAUCUCUGGCUAUCUGAAUUCAGAGUCUUGUCCAUGGGGAUCUCCUUUAGCAACCGUCGACGUGACAACAACCACCACCGUCUCCACCACAAUCCUCCUCCUCCUCCUCCCCCUCCUCCUCAUCGUCCGCCGUACUAUUACCCCGAUCCUCCCUCGCAACCGCCGCCUCAAAACGAGUACAACUACAGCUACACUCAGAACAACCUCGUUUCAACUCCUCCGCCUCCGCCUCCUCCACCUCCACCUCCCCCGCCGCAGAUUAAUUACGGAGCGUACGGUCAUAACUAUCAUCAAAACCAGUAUUACCCGCAACAAGCUCCUCCUUAUUUCGCCGGUUAUCAUCAAAAUGGUUGGAAUAAUUUUGGGAGGAGACACUACAUUCCGCAACCGCCUACGGUUCAAAUUGUGCAGCCUUAUGUGGAGCAUCAGAGCGCGAAGAAGGUGAGGAAUGCUGUCAAUGUUAAUAAAGCUACGGUGAAGCUCGAACCAGACGAUCUUAACCCUGGUCAUCAUCUUGUUUCCUUCGUCUUCGAUGCCAUUUUCGAUGGCAGGUAUAAAAAAAAAACUCUUGAUUUUAGGAUUUACAGGGUCAUAUUAAGGUUCGGUCAAUCGGACUUUAGAAUCGGAAUUGGGAUGAGAUUGGCUGAUUAGGGUAGAUGGCACUUCUAAGUUAUACUGAAUCUCAUAUUUGGAUCAAAAAGGUUUAAACUUUACAUGAUCUGACUCAAAAGUCAAAACCUUUGCUUGCUUUUAGUUACUGGAAUUUAGGGGUUUGUUUUUCUUCAUUUGGAUCAAUUUGGUUCAAUUGAUCCAAGUUUAGUUAUAUUAUAACCAGGAUUGGGACAUGAUUGGCUAAUUAGGGUAGAGAGGAUUUUGGAAAGGAAGAUCUAAAUUAUGUGGAGCCACAAUUUUUGAUUAUAAAAGGCUAAAACUUUACAUGAUUCUGGCUUAUGGACAAGACAUGACUCUGGCUGAUGGGUUUGUGAUUUGGUUAAGACUUUUCCUUUUACUUGAAAUUUUCUAGUUAGCUACUGAAUCAAUCUUAUUACUCUCUCUGUGUUGCCUACCGAGCUUUAAGGCUUUGACCUUAGACUUCGAGUGAUCAAAACUCAAACGGACCUUCUGAUUGCGAAUCCUGAAAACAAAAAUCCUAAAACUUUUGAAGUUACUUUUGUAUGUUUUGUUUAUGAACAUUAUUACUAAGAUUAACCAACAGUGAGUCUGAUUAUGUUACUUGUCUCAUUUUCAGUUUUACAAUCAUAUUUUUUGCAAAGGAGGAAUCUGACUGCACAAUCGUUCCACAUUUACCUGAAGCUUAUCCACAAACCAAAGUCCCUUUCGAGAAAGGUACUGGGCAGAAGUUUCUACAACCUUCAGGGACAGGAACUGAUUUGGGAUUCUUUUCACUGGAUGAUCUAUCGAAACCAACACCAGAAGGGGUGUACCCACUUGUUAUAUCAGCCGAGGCAGUAACCCCACCAAGCUCGGUUUCAGAGGAAAUUUUCGCGCAUAAGCAAAUCACACUAGCCAGUUUGGAGAAGACUAACGAUAAAACGUUUAAAGUGAAAGUCAUGAAACAGAUCCUAUGGGUUGAAGGAGAACGAUAUGAACUACAAGAGUUGUAUGGAAUUGAUAACUCGGUCAUACAAGAUAAUGGUGAGUCAGGCUUAGAGGAUGCCGGUGGCAAAGAAUGUGUCAUAUGCUUGACUGAACCUAAGGACACAGCCGUCAUGCCUUGUAGACAUUUGGUAAAAGCUUUUACCUAUUUUCUUUGAUUUCACCUAAACACAAGUUUUGCAUUUAGUCGGUACACUUAUUAACCGUAGUUUCCAACAUGAACAUGCAAUUUCUGUCAUUUUAGACUUACUUCAUAUUUGACUCUAAACUCGAUAGCUAAUCUACACCAAAUUUCUUACAAGAACAUAAUUUUUUGGUUGAAUAGUUAUCAAGACUAAAUUAUGUGGUGUUCCUUCUUGCAGUGUUUAUGCAGUGACUGCGCAAAAGAACUCACGUUUCAGUCAAACAAAUGUCCCAUUUGUCGAGAACCUAUCGAACAACUUGUAAAGAUGAAGGUGCAAAGUAGUGAUGGUGGACAACACUGAAAAAGAGGUUUGCUCCCUUCACGUAAACACCAAGUUUGGUUUCUUCUCUUUUUCCCUAAACCCUUGAAGCAAGUUCUAAUGCCCUGUUUUCUUAUACAAACAUCAUUUCAUACUCUGUAUAUAUCUGUUGGUCUUAGUUUCGGAAAUGUGGAAGAACAAAAAAACAAAAACAUCAGUAAUGUAAUAUAUCUCUAAUGAUUCUAAAGAAUUUCUCGCUGUGUCUCUCUGCUUGAAACACUCAUUAAUCUCUUUGACGUGUUAUUGAAUAUUUCUUUGUUUGCUUAUCUCUCGGAUAGAACUUGGCAACCAUAUGUUGUUUACAGUAAGGUAUAGAGUCACACUCUCUAGAAACCAUUUCUAUGUUUGGAAAAGUUCAGCAAGAGUUUUGGAUACCUCUAUAUGUCCCUUAUUUGGAUUUCUUUUAUCUCUUUCUUCUCUAGAAAGUAAAAGUUUUGUGUAGAAGACAAAAAAAUGGGGACCUUGAUAAUUACAGAAAUUCAAAAGAUAAUAAAGAGAGAUGGAACUGAAGUUGAUGAAGAGCAACAUUUCAAAGAAGUUAUCUUUUUUGUUUUUCCUCUCCCUUUUGCUCUUUUGUCUAUAAAAAAGGCUAAAAAGAAAAGGAAAAAGCUGGGUUGGGAGAUGGAGAAUGUUUCCUAUUGAAGUUAAGCCUGAGAAAGAAAAAGUUAGAAAAGUGAAGUGUGAGUUCAUUCUUUUUGACAGAAUGUUCAAACUUUUGAAUUGAGGAAGAUAGUGAAUCAUAUUAAAAAAAAAAAAAGUCUCCAUUUGAUGAGAGUAGUGAAGCGACCCUCUUCACAAGGUAUACAUUCAUAUUGAUUCCAGGUGGUAUCAGAUCUAUAGACAUGAUGUGUCUUUGAUAGUUUUCUUAUCAAUAAAGUGUAAAAAUACAUACAUGAAUGAGAGAGCUACUGUAUGUUUUCAUAAAAUAAAAACAUAACGUACUGUAAAAAUAAAAAUGCAAACAUAGAAAGUUGAAGUUUGAAGAAUGAAAAAUUGAAAAGCCCUGGGUCUAUGUGAGAAUUGUAUCUGUCUUGUUUUGGACUAUAUAUAGGAUUUGAAGUGAUUUGUUUCCUUUUCGGCCUAUGACAAUGUUUACUAGUCAUACCAUGAUGUUUAAUCAAAGUUCCUUGACGAAUCUCUCAUUUAUCAACAUUUGUUUUUUUUUCAAUUUCCUAUAUUCUAUUUGUAGACCUUCUUCUUCUUUUUCUCAGAUUUGACUUUACAGUAAAUAUAGUUCAUCAAGAUGUUUAAGUUUCAACUAACUCCACAAUUGUAAUAUUCCAUUAACUAUCCCAUAGGAAAGAAAAUGAAUGAUUUUGUCCAAGCGAGAUUAGUUUUGAAAGUGUAAUUAUUGGCUGAGAUAAAACUCAAAUAAUGAAGAUUACUAUGAUUCAAGAACUAAAGUGUCUGAAAGAUAUAUUACUGGAACAGAAUUGAUAACAGCUCAGCACACAAGAUAUACUGUCAUGACUUCAAGCUAAACUAAAGUUUUAGAUUCAAUAGAUAGUUAUAUUACAUAUAUAUCUAAGGUUUUAUGUUAUUUGUUAUAUAGAGAGGGAGUUGCUUACUUUAGGAUACGUGUUAGGGAUUCAACGUGAGAGGCACAUAGAUGUUUGCGGUGUUGUCACACGAUGGCUUAGUAGAAGUUCUAGUUCUGGUGGCUAGAGGAGAUUAUAGAACUGUUGAUGUAAGACUGAUGCGCCAGGGUUAUAGGUGUUGCAAUGUUGAAGUCUUAGGUUCGCUAGUUUAGUGUAGCUCUGGCCUCUGAAGAACCCUAUGGAAUAACAUGGAUUGCUACAUGGAAUAGUAAAACUAUAGCCUAAUACGAACCUUGUACGUACGCACUACGCACCCGUCAAAGAUAUUAUCAUAUUGCGUCAUCAGCUAGUUCACACUGUCAAUCUCUCAACCAUAUAUAUAAUUCACUCUUAUCAUUUCCGCCAUCAGUUCAUACGUGUUAACAUUUUGCAUACUAAAAUAUAACGACUCAAGUAGGAGACGUAUUUGUGAUAAGAUUCGUUUUAAAGAAAAGAGAAAGAGAAAGAAAAAAAACGAAUCUCUAUAAGGAAAAGAUGGUAACAAGAGAGAAGAGAAUAGAGACAAAAACACCAAUUAAUGUCAUUUUGUCAAUAAGAAGAAGAUGACCCCAUGUGAACAUUGGAGACUCAUGUGACUCAACUCUAUCAUUUUUGGCAAAUUACAUUUACCUACAAGUUUUUAUCCCAAUAAUACCCAAAAUUUUGUUUUCAAAUGUUUAAUGGUUAAUUUGCUGAUAAGUGUUGUUUUUUAUUUAAUCAUUUUAAUUUAAAAGUCUUUGAGAUUUUUCUCUUUAUCAAAGUCUUUCUUUCGUUUCCCAUAAGAAGAGUUGAAUUCAAAGCUAAUAAAAAAAAAAAUUACCAAAAAAAAUUCAAUAAUGUGGAACGAAAUAAUUCUCCCACAGCCAUCGUAAAAUUGUAUCAUAAAUGUCAAAAAUGGUACAAUGUCCUUUCGUUGUAAAAGACUUGGCCUAUAUCAUACAAUAGAUUUUUUUACGAGCUAACGUUACCUUUUUUUGUCCUAUCCAAUUAUAUGGUACAGAACUACAGAUUACUCUCAUUCAUAUGGCCAUGACAAUAAUAUCCCACUAGAUGUUUUUUUUACGAGUAUAGUUUUUUCACUUCUUCUUUUUUUAUUUAUUUAUUAAUUGUUGUUUGCUUUAAUAUUCCCUAAUAGUAUUGGGACAUAACAUGUUUUGUACCUCGUCCGUUGUUUUAGUUUUAAUUUCAUUUUUAGAACUUCUCUAUGUAUAAACAUAUAUUAUACUCUCUACAUUCCAUAAAAACUAUAGUUUACGUGUAAGUAAAUCAUCGGAUAUAAUUAAAAAAAGCGUGAACAACCUAACUACGAAAUUCGGGUUUAUGAUCAAUUCCAUGUACAAUGCAUUUUAUUUUUUUAAAGCUAAUGGUACUAUUCUCAUAUUAAUUGCAUGUUAACAACUACUACUAUAUAUGUAAUUAACAUCUUAUGUAUAGUUUGCACUCUAAUUGGGAUUUGAGAUGUUAUUAUGUACGUACGGAAGUGUUGUUACUUCUUUUCCUUUGACCAUAAUACUUACGAAAAAAUAUUCCAAUAAGAAAAGAAAAGUACUUAUAUAUAUAUACACUCAGACUGAACAAAAAAAAAAGUUUUUAAAAGUUUAAGUCUUGUUUAAAAGAUACUGCAAAAUAAAUUUUGUUGGAUUUACCAUUUGUCUACGACCCAAACGACACAAUGUACAUUAAUUUGUCGCUAUAAUAUGCAAUAAGAAAGUAUGAUAAAAAGAAAAGUUAGAAUGAACCCAUGCAUUGGUAGGAAAGUGGUAGCUAGAGUUGGGUUAGGAUGUAAGUUCACACACAUGUUCAAUGUUUCGAUUUUUUGCUACGAACAGCUUCGUUGUGCAUGAACCACUUAAUUGGUGGUUGUUUGGGAUUUGGCCUAAACAAUGAAUCCGUGGUGGAUUUGCCCAAAAAUAUUAUGACCAAAGAACAUGCUCAUCUUUGAUAUUUGUCGGCAUUUCGAGUUUUCGACAUUUGAUAUUAAUUGGAAAACAAAACAAUAAAAAUCUCAUGGAAAUUUGUAUAUUUGUGUGUAUGCAUGUAAUAUGUAACUUUUGUUUCUCUUUACUAUUUUGUUUUUUGUUGUUUUAUUAAUUCUCUUUACUAAUUGACAGUGAAUUAAUUUUUUUCGUCUUAACAGUUAAAUCUUUAAAAAGAAUCCCCAAAAGUGUAUAAAUAUAUAGUAUUAUUAUAAUUUAAAAGCCAAAAAGGAAAACUAAAAUAAGGGGAGAGUGUUUCAUGCCAUGUUUACAUAUAAUUUAGGCUUUUGAGACAAAGUGCAAUCAUGAUACUUAUAUGCGUAGAACAAAAGUGUCUAAAACUUAGAUAGCUUAAUUAAGAGAAAAAUUAAGAGAAACUGAUUCGGCCGAAAACGUGAUUAUGUUUACUCGCAAGGGUGUGUGAGUGAGGCUUUCAUCAUUUACACAACCCCACUUUUUUUUUUCUCUCUGUUUAGUUAUUAUUAGUUUCUAACAACAUAUAAUAGUUAGCAAUUUGAAGUAAUUCUUUAAGGUAAAUGUCUUUUUCCCAUCAAGACAAAAAAGUAAUCAAUUAAAACACUUUAUUCUUAUGCCUAAAUUUCUCUUAAAUUGUCUCUUUCUUUAACCAAUUUUGUCAUUUUUUCAUAUAAUUGGUCCCACUGUUUCAAGUAAGUUUUAACUUUUUACUAAAUUAUUGAAGAAAAUGUCGACAAAAAAAAAGGUUUAAGAAACAUGGAUUGUUCACUGCUGAAUACAGUUACAAUUACAUGUGAGUUUUACAUCAUUACAAAAUUCGUUUAAAGUUAUAAAAAAUAUUAGGCAGGUGGAUAGAUUUUUUUUUUUUUUUAUCAUUACAAAUGUUUUUAGUUCGCGAAUUAUUAGUUGUAAAAUAGAUUAUUAAAAAAAAAAAAAAAAAAAAAAACAGUACCUGGAUAGGAUAAGCAUUAGAGUGGCCUCCAAUUAUGGGUGUUGUGGUUUUUGGCUACUUACUAUUAUUAUUACCAAACCUGAUCGAUCCGUGAUGAUUUUUUUGUAUAUAUGAAAACGAAAUAAAUACAUAAAUCGAGUAUAGUUUUGUUAAUGAUUGAAGAAACGAGCCAUGCGCGAUAUCAUAAUAAUUAUUGCGACAAAUUAUUCAAGAGUAUGUGAAUCCAUAUGGUCAAAUAGUUUCUUUGAAUCGUAGAGUGAAAUUAAUCAUGAUUGGGGUUUACAGUCAUAUAUAUAUAUAUCUAAAUCAAACCAGAAAAAUAAGACUUCUUUAUGUUGUUUUUAUUUUAUUUUCUCUCUACUCUUUAGAGUUUAGACACCUCCAUGUUUUCAUCUGAGCCUUAUUUUUUCGACAUUUUAUUUUGUAAAUAUGAUUUUAUAAAUAUCAAUAUAACACAUCUUUAAACCGGCCAGAUUGUGGACCGUGGGUGAUCCAAUUCAACACCCACUCUGCUUUCUUUUUUACCAAAAAAAAAAAACAUAGUUAAAUUGUUAUCAUACAUAUUAGGUGUACAUUUUAAAACCAUAUAUAUAAAUAUCAGUAAUCAGAUCAUACUAAUUUUUUUAAGGAUUUAUGCAAUAUGAUUUGAUUAUAAAAUUAGAAAGAUUAAAUAAAAAAAUUUGUUUUAUCUCAAUUUUGUUUGUUUCACGCCGAAAUAACAUUAAAACGGACACGUUGACAUAAAACAUCGGAGCAUAUCCGUAGUUGAUCCAACUCACUUUAAUUUUUAUUUUGUUACUUUUUAAAAAUAUCUGAAAUAUCAAUAAUUAGAUCAUAUUAAAACUUUUUAGGAUUUACGUUAUAUAAGUUGAUUAUAAAAUUAGAAAGAUUAAAAAUAUUUUUCUUGUUUUUUUCUCAAUUUUGUUUGUUUCACGUUGAAAUGACAUUGAAACGGAUACGUUGACAUAAAACAUCGGCGCAUAUCCGUCCGUAGUUGAUCCAACUCACUUUAAUUUUUAUCUUGUUACUUUUUAAAAAUAUCUGAAAUGCCAAUAAUUAGAUCGUACUGAAACUUUUUAGGAUUUACGUUAUAUGAAAUAUCAAUAAUUAGAUCGUCGUACUAAAACUUUUUAGGAUUUACGUUAUAUGAGAUGAUUAGAUAAAUCGAAAGAUUAAAAAAAAAUUCUUGUUUUUUCUCAAUUUUGUUUGUUUUCAUACCGAUAUAACAUUAAAACGGACGCGUUGUACAAUCUAUCAGCGCAUAUCUAUAAGCUCAUCGUGCAUAUAAAUAUCGUCUUUUUAUUUUGGAUUUCUAAAUCAUUUUAAGUAAUCUUAGCUGUAAAUAGUAAUAAUAAAAUUAGAGAUCUAAUUACUGUUUGAAAAAAUAUUUAAAAUUUUAAAAUUAAUAUAUUGCUGUAAAGAAAGAAUGAAAAGAUCAUUCCUAAAUUUAAUGUAGCAAAAUUCCUAGGACCGGUUUAUACGGAAAGAAUAAAAGAGAGAACAACUUCACGUUUUUCAUCACUAUAGUAACGUCAAAUUAACCGGCUUAUUGUCGUGAUUAAGACACUAUCUAAAAUACUUUAGUUUAAUGAAUUCCCCAUAAAAACAAUAAUUUAUUAAAGUUGAGGCCAAGCCAAGCCACCACCUCACAAGCCGAGCUAAUAAUAUUCUAAUAAAAGUAACAAAUUAACAAUUAAAUUAAAUAGCACAUUCUUAUAUACUAUAGGGGGAUGUUAUGAAUAUUCACAUAGCCCCCAGUUCCAACGUUUCCUUUGUACGUAAUAGUUUAUUUCUCACACUGAAGUUGUAUUAUUGUUAUAUACUUUUCAUGAGAACGUAUUCAAAUCUAACAACGGACCAACUUAUAAAAUCAUAAGAUCCUGUUUUUAAGUUUCUGAAAUUAAAGAAGUUUUGACUCUAUAUACCAUAUACGAAAUUAAAUGGUUUGAGAUACUAUUGAUAACUCCUAAACUAGUUUCUUUUAUGGACACAUACUCCUAAUCUAGUUUGACAAUUACUUUUCACAUCUUUAACCAUUAAAUUACAAUAAUGAAACCCACAGAGAAAAAAAAUGUUUUAUUAAAUAUAUAAAACCCAAAAUAAGAGUACUGCACUCACUUCAUUUCUCCUAAUAAAUUAAAAGGCCAUCUUAAAAAAGAUAACGAAGUAGCAACUUUGCAUCAUCCUCUCUCUCUCUCUCUCUCUCUCUCUCUCUCUCUCUCUCUCCCUCUCAUUCUGAAAUAGAUGAAGUAGAGAAGUUAAUGUUCACCAAACUUACUGUAAAGUCUGAAACUUUCUUCCUUCUUCUUCUUUGCUUCAUUCAAGUAAGUCUCUCUGUUUUUUCUCUGAAAUCUUCUUCUCUCUGCAUAUUUGUCUUUCCAUGGCGAAUACCCAAUAAGAAAGGAGACUUCUUUUUCUCUCUCUCUCAAAGCAUAUUUGUUUCCCUCUCAGAUAAUGUAUAACAUGUGUUUGUAUGUUUGCACCGUGAUGUUUACUUCUGUCUUCUAAAUCUUAUUCCUUUUAAGUAACGUUUUUCUUGUUUGCAGAUUAAACGUUCAAGAAACAGAGGAUUUGUCUCAGAUCUAGUUGCAAUAGUUAUAUAGAUUUGAAUUUCGUUACUAGCUACAGGAAAAGAUGAGUAAAGAAGAGUUCAUGAAGAUCCAGGUUUGCUCAUUACUAUUUUUUCCCGUUUUUUUGUUUUAAUGUUAUUACAGUAACAUAAGAAUUAACUCUGUUUUUUUUUCUUGUUGUUUUGGUGUUUUUGUUGUGUAGACUUGUGUUCUCAAAGUGAACAUUCACUGUGAUGGUUGUAAGCAGAAAGUGAAGAAAAUCUUGCAGAAAAUUGAAGGUAAGAGAACAAAAAAAAAACAAAAUUUUGACUUUUUAAUUAAAACCAAAUCUUAUUAUGUCAUCAAGAUUUGACUUAACACUCCAAAGUCUUUGAUCUUAGGUGUUUUCACGACAAAGAUAGACGCAGAGCAAGGAAAAGUGACUGUAUCUGGAAACGUAGACCCAGCUGUUCUAAUCAAGAAGCUCUUGAAGUCUGGUAAACAUGCCGAAAUCUGGGGAGCUCCCAAGGGAAGUAGUAACAACAACCAGAACCAACCCAACUUGGCUAAUCAGUUCAAAGCCAUGCAGAUUGAUCACGGCGGCAAAGGCGGUGGUGGUGGUGGUGGUAACCCCGCCGGUGGAAAUAAUAACAAAGGCCAAAAGAACGGUCCUGGGGGUGGCGGAGGUGGCGGUGGAGGAGGAGGAGGUGGAGGAGGCGGCGGUGGACCACCGAAGAUGGUUCUUCCGCAGUUAACUCCGCAACAGAUGCAGCAGUUGAACCCGCAGCAGCUUCAGCAGCUACAACAACUUCAGCAGAUGAAAGGGUUUCAAGAUCUGAAGCUUCCUCCUCAGUUAAAGGGUGGUCCAGGUCCGGGGCCUGGCUCUGUUCCUAUGAACAAGAAUCCUCAGAUGCCUGUUAAUCCUAAUCAGAAGGCUGUGAAGUUCAACGUUCCUGAUGAUGAUGACGACGAGGAUGAUUUCAGUGACGAAUUCGAUGAUGAGUUUGAUGAGGAUGACGACGAGUUUGAUGAUGAUUUGGAGGAUGAUGAGUUUGACGACCACCCACCUCCGCCUAACAAGAUGAAGCCUAUGAUGGGUGGUGGUGGUGCUGGUGGUAACAUGAUGAUGCCUAAUAACAUGAUGCCUAACAUGAUGAUGCCUAACGCUCAACAGAUGUUAAACGCUCAUAAAAACGGUGGCGGUGGUGGUCCUGGACCCGCCGGUGGUAAAAUUGAGGGCAAAGGUAUGCCUUUUCCUGUUCAAAUGGGCGGCGGUGCUGGAGGGAAUGGAGGUAAGAAGGGCGGUCCCGGUGGAGGAGGCGGCGGUGGUGGUGGUAAUAUGGGGAUUCAAAACCAAAGCGGAGGAAAGAACGGUGGCAAAGGCGGCGGCGGUGGUCAUCCCUUAGAUGGGAAAAUGGUCGGAGGUGGCGGCCCUCCAAACGGUAACAAAGGAGGCGGUGGAGGCCAGAUGAAUGGCGGCCCUAACGGCGGUAAAAAGGGCGGUGGAGGAGGCGGCGGAGGAGGAGGACCCAUGAAUGGAGGACUCCCGCCGGGUUUCCGUCCAAUGGGAGGCGGUGGCGGUGGUGGAGGACCUCCAACCAUGAGUAUGCCAAUGGGUGGUCCAAUGGGUAGUCUUCCACAGAUGGGCGGUGGACCUGGUCCGGGUCCAAUGGGUAAUAACAUGCAGGCAGUUCAAGGAUUACCCGCAAUGGGUCCAGGCGGAGGCGGCGGCCCAUCGGCAGGAGCACCACCACCAGGAUAUUUCCAAGGCCAAGCCCCUGGCGGCGGCGGAGGAGGCGGUCAAGACUCAAUGCCGGGAAAUCCCUACUUACAACAACAGCAACAGCAGCAACAACAACAAUACUUGGCUGCGGUUAUGAACCAGCAACGAGCCAUGGGGAAUGAGCGGUUCCAGCCGAUGAUGUACGCUCGACCACCGCCAGCUGUCAACUAUAUGCCACCUCAACCGCACCAGCAACAUCCAUACCCGUACCCGUAUCCGUAUCCGCCUCACAACGGUGACCAGUAUUCUGAUUACUUCAGUGAUGAGAACACAUCAAGCUGCAAUAUUAUGUGAACAACAACAACAACAAAACUUUCCAUAGUUUGUGUCCGGUCUGUGAUUAUACAUGGAAAUGGUUUUUUUUUUUUCUUUCUCAUAAUUAUUGGAGGGGUUCUUAAAAUCCUUCUUUUUUUUUCCUCCAACGGAUCGAUCCUAAGUUAUAUUAGGAUUUUCUUAAUUUGUGAUAGUUCUUAAGUAAUAUUAUAGAAUCAUAAUAUAAAAUCAAACGAAUAUUUUAUAUUCAGUACUUGAACUUUUUUUUUUCUCUGGGUUCUUAUACUUUCUUAAUGAGAUCCUAGUGUUCAUAUGUUGUUUAUAGAAAGAUAAAAUUAAAAUAAAGCCAUAAUGGAAUGAUCUUAUUUUAUUCAAAGUUCUGUGACUAUAUUUGUUUUGUUUUUUUCUUUUAUUAUAUUAUUAUGAAGAAUAUGCGCAAUUGCAAUGAACAAGUUUUGUAUAUACUACAGAAUAUAGAUACCUAAACCCUUCAGAAAAUAAAAUCUGACUGCGAUUAGUGUGAUACUGACGCUUUUGAAUCAAUAAAUAAAAUAUAAUAAAACUAUUAAUUAAUUGUUUUACUUCCUUUUAAAAAAAAACAGAGCAAAAAAAUGAUAAUAAUGGAAUUGGACUUGUGUCCCACCCACUACGAUUUUAGAUCAUUUUGUCCAAUUGGGUUUUGGCUUUAAUUAUUUUUUUGUCACUUUUAUUAUUAGGUUUGAAUAGAUUUCUAAAAAGGAAAAAAGAUUACAACGACAAAAGUAAACAGAUCAGUUGUUGUAUUUAAAUUAAAAUAAAAUUAAAAAGGAAACAAUAAGAAACGCUGAUUGUGAGGAUGGCAACAUUUUGCUUUUCAAGACUAUUUGUUUAAGUUAACUUUUUUAUAUUAAAACAGUAAUAGUGAAUACAACAUUUUAGCCCUUAUCAUAUAGUUUAUGUUCAUCAAAAACUAGUAUAUCGCAAAUGGGAUGCGUUUGGAAACGUUAGGUUGAUGAUUUGUAUAUUACCACAAAUAUGCUAUACUCCGGAAGCCAAAGUUUGUAGCUCUUAACAAGUCAAAGCUUAUAUAUAUAUAACGUACGAGUUACGAGUGAGACACAAAAGAUGAUCAUCAUCGUCAUCUUCGAAUGAUGAUGGAGGAUGAGUUGGAACUGCACAAGUAAAAUUAAAUGUGGCUUGUUGUUGUUUAGUAGUAAUUUUGGGCGUCAUAGAGACACAAACACACUUCAGUGCACACGUUUCUUAUCCUUCUUCAUCUUUCAAUUGUUGCUUUAUUAUAUGUAAUUUUGUAUGCUUUUUAUGUCUUUAUUAUUUGCGUGAGACAGUAGUAACAGUACACAAAAAAAAAAACUUAUUUAAGAAGCCCGCUUUGGAUUCGUCCAGAUUUUGCUUCUUUCAUACGUAUUCUUCUUUUCUUUCCAUUUAAAGUUAUUUUUAUUGCCUCUGUAACACCGCACAAUAUGCAUAUCUAGAAAUGGUUUUUAAGGGUUUGAAAUGAGAAGAGGGGCAUCAUCAGAGAACCAGGCUGCUCGAGGUCCGACACUUGUUACUUGUCUCAUCAUCUCUUGUGCAGUUCCAACACCACCCUCACGGCGAUUUUACUUCACUUGUUUUUAACCAUACUCCGUAAAAACUGCGUUACCAACUAAUAAAAGGAUAUACGUUACGGAUAUUGACAAAUCCAAACCCAUCUUUUUCUCCCUGUUUUCUCUUUGGGUCCCUUAGUUUUUUAUUUUGUCCCUUGGUAUUAUUUUAGCCAUGGCCAAAAGCUAUAUAAGAAAAGUGAACUACGAGAGUGUUCACAUAUUACAAUAAGAAUGUUUGGUUAAUCGCCUCUUUAGAAAACUUUAUUACUAGUAAUCUCUAAUUUAGUGAUCUUCUUACAAUAACAAAUACAGUAUAGCUUAAACUUUAACUUUAGUCAUUUUCACAAAAUUUUAGAAUUCUCACAAAAAGGUGGGUUUUUUUUUACAUAAUCCAGCUUAGUAACUUUCUCUUUUGGUUCUUGUCAUCAGUUUAACGUAUUAAUGAAGUUUAUAGUACUUUUUUAUAAUAGCUAGAGCAAAUGAAACCAAAGUGGUUUCAGUUCAGUCAGCUUCUGCUACAAGCUGAUCUAGUCGGUUCGAAACCGUCCAAUAAGAAAGAGCCAAGUCAUAGAUCAACUGUAAUAAUUGAGAAAGAUGAGUUUUAUAUAACGUCUGCAUCACAGCCGUCCGAUUUAGAGUGUCUCAGAUGGAGCCAAAUUAGAGGAAAAAGAAAGCUCGGCUGUCGAGGAGACGCGUUACUACACAUUUGGCUCCUCCCCAUCACUGCCGGUUACACGAAACCGCUCGAACCACGAAUGAUGACGUGAUGUGUUGGUUAAACGCCGUUAAUAUGCCAUAAUUGUCAUGUCACAUGUAAAAAAGUAUCAAUAAGGACAUGUAGAAAAAUAUAUAUGUAUAUAAUAAACAAGAAACUACUACUACUACUAUAAUAAUGUCUUUUAAGAAAAUAGGGGCCACGUAAUUAUAAAGUUGGUAUACUUACAUAAUUACAAUCAAAGAAAGCAAAAAAAGAAUGAAAGAAAAAAAGAAAAAAGAGUAAAGGAGCUUUUAUGAAUUAACGCAAAUGUUCCCUAGUCGUACCAUGAAAACCUGCAGACCAAUCGAAUUGCGGGCAAUAGCCGAUUCACACCUAUUCGUUAACCUAAAACUUUGAUUAUUAGUUUUCGAAUUGUUCAUAAGUUUUGACCUUACCAAAGCUUGCCACCAUGCACCAAAAAAAUAACAAAAGAAAGUGUAAUGGUUGGUGCAAAAAAGACUUGGUCAUUAUGUAUACUAGAGACCUUUUUGGCAUGCAUGUAAUGUAGAUCAUCCAGUUAUGAUACAUACUUGUAUAAAGAUGUGUAUAAUGAGAUGAUAAAAACGACAUGCAAUAAGUUAAUAUAUGUGUACACAGAGACAUAUUACAAAAAUGAGAUAAAUAGAGAGAGAGAGAGAUGGAUGUGACAGAAACAGAAAGAGCGUGUGUGAUAUUGAGAGCCCCGAAAAGAGAUUAUUGGAGAAAGGAAGUGAGAGCACAUGGAGAGGCUCGUUUGUGUUUCCGAUGGCUAUUAUGAAUGUGUAAGAAAAGGGAAUAUUACAUACCAACAAAAGUCAAAUCUGUCUUAUUUGGAGAACUCAAGGAUCUGUAUAUUUCGUUUUGACAACAAAUCAAUCGCCACACUCCCUAGAAAAUAUCACAAUAAAAACUUGUAGAAACAAUUUCACUGUUUUAAUAAACAACAAAAGAAUUACAUAUAGGAUUCACAACAAAAAAUAGUCUGAAAAUUUGAGAUUUUGACUAAGUAGAUAUCAUCAAUCUGAAAUCAAAAUUUGAUUUGCUGCCAUAAUCUUUAUAAAUUUCGCAAAAGUUCAAACAUUCCUUUUAUCAAAAAAGAAAAAAAAUAGCUAACUUCUUCUUCUUGAAUCUACUCGGAUUCGUCAAUAUUCUCACAACCAUCCCAAAAUGGUCAGUGCAUAGCUCUGUUUUCGUAAACGCAUUAUCACUUUCGUAUCAAACCUAAUAAAACAUUAUAUUCACUGAAAAAUGAAAUACUAAAAAAUGAGUGCACUCUCCACCACCUUCUGUUUUUUUUUUUUUCUUUUUGGUUUCUCAAAUUUGGACAGCUUUUACAUAUACUUACCCCUCCUUCUCAUUAUAAAAGUUAUUAAUCUGUUGACUUUCUUCGGACAGAAGAAAAGGGAAAAAAUUAAAUGGAUCACGUGAAGGGAUGAAGCUGAUAUAAGAAGCAAAGCAGAGACCACUUUGACAAACAACUAAGCAAGUAUGCUUAAAAAGUCUUUGACUACUAAUAAUUGAACCUCACGCUUUCUUACUGUUUUUAGCUUUUAUUCAUUAUUAAUCUCAAUAAAAUUAGUACUACUGGAGUAGUAUAUUGUUAAAUUUACUAUUACUCUUUCUUGACUGUUUCAAUAUUUACCUUUUUUAGGAUCUGUAUUGUUUUCUCUUUUUGCUCUGUCUAUAAGAUUUCUUCAAAAAAAAAAAAAAAAACUUUUAGAAUGUUGUCUAAUUAUUCAAAUGCACACCAACACUAAAAGCCGAGUGCGGAAGAAUUUGCAUUCCCGAGUUUUCGCUUAGCAUUGUGCGUGGACUCACAAUUCAAAUCUAUAGAAGUACGAAACUAUACACAAAUUAACGGCUAGUAUUUCACUGUUAAAAAAACAAAUAAGCAAAAAGAAUAUAUUAAAAGCCAUCUUAUCAAAAAAUAUAUAUAUAUAUUUUUGACAAUUUUAUAUAUCAAAGAAAAAAAUUUCAUCUAAAUAGAAGAAAAAACAAUGACAUUUAUAAUCCUGACGUAAAUCGUGUAGCAGGUUCGGUCCAUAGUAUCUAAGUAAAAGACGUCAUGACUUCGUGCUACAAAUAUAUUUGGGGAUUUUAGAAAGAAAAAAGAAAAUAUAUGUUUGUGUGUGUAUAUAUGUAGAGAGAUAUAUACCCAAAAUAAAACAUUAAUUUGAAUAUAUGCACAGUUUAUUCAUUUACUAGUAGUACAUUCGAAAACGUUGGACCGACAAUGUCAUGCAAUAGCCAAAAAAUGUGCCCCCUCAAAAAUCAAUGUUUGAUAUCGACAAACAAAAUAAUGAAUGCAGAAAGAAGUAUCACUCUUUUGUUUACACCAUUUUACAAACUUAAACCUAUUUCCGAAAUUUGGAUAUUUUUCACAUUUAUUUUUUUGAGUUCACGUUUUAAGAUUCGUAAACCAUUUGUAGAGGUUUAGUUCGUCAUCCCAACAAUUAGUUUAACAAAACGUUUGAAGAAAGUAAAUCAAGUUAUUAGAAAUAACACAAAACCUAAAACUAAGGAAAACACAAAACGGUAGUAAUGUGAACUGAUCAAUUAGACAGUACGUACAAAAAUGUAAUAUAGUUUGUUCAGAGCUCGGUUUAUGUCAGUGUCAUAAAUGCACGUAAUCUACUAACACCGAGCACCUUUGUUCGUAUUAUAUAUUUACUAUAUAGGAGUAUUUGAUUAUAUCAAUGAAUGUGAAAAAAUAGCAUGGUCUCUCAAAGACUGUACUUAGCUUUCAAUAUAUCUGCAAGCGUACAUGUACUACAUUAUUAUUACUCAUUAACGUGCAUUUCGUAAUCGUCGACUUUUAAGUAUGCAUGUAUGUGUAUGUGUGUGUCUGUGUGUAAGUAAGAGAGCUUAGGGAAUCAAAGCAACAGGACACGAACGGGUCACGGGAAAAAGGGAAACAAAUUUUAAUAAUACUAGAAAACAAUUUACCUAAGAAUAUUUGAGAAUUAUGAGAGGCAGUGAGAUUUUUUUAUAUUUGGUGGGUCAAUAUUGAGAGAUGUACAUAGAUAGAUAUUUGCUUAUCUCGCAGCCCAAAAUGUUGCAACAGCCUUUUUUGCUCUUACAACUCAUAAUUUGAUAUUUAUGUAUAUGAAUAAAUGUAAAUUAGUGUAUAGUGCACACACACACACACACACGACACUACCAAUUAUCAUAUGAUCCAAAAAUAAAGGUCAUCAGAAAAGACUUGUCCUUAUAAUGCAUAUGAUUGAUGAUUUCAACUUAUAUCAGUGAGUGGGCUGUUUAAUGGGUCGAUACCAAUCUUUUCAUUUCCUUUAUAUCCUGUGUUUUUAAAAUUUAUUUCGUAUGUGAAUAAUUAUUAUAAUAGUGUGUGGAGAUAUUAGGAUUUGUUCUUUAUAUGUAAUUACAUGUAGUAGUAUAAGAGUUGAAAUUGUCAUAAUCGAACCCCAGACAAGUUUCUGGUAGCACCCACGUGAAAGAUAGGAUAACAUUUAUAUAACUAAACAAAACAGGUCAGAGUUCACUUCACCCAACUCCCAUCAAAUAUCUUCUUGCCUUUUUAGCCAUUCAUUAUAUAACUUAUUUUAAGUUAAUGUGUAGUUCUGCACCAAGAUAAAAAGAAAAAAAAAAUGGUCAACCCAAGUUGCGGUCAAAUCUUUAAAUCCCUUUAAUAUUCUAUGUUUUAAAGUCUUUUGUGUGAAUUUUACAAAGACCAGACUGAAAAAUCACAUGUUAGUAAUUCAAUUGCAAGAAUAUUAAAAACGUACGAAUAAAAGUAAACAACUGUAUGAUACUAUAAUCAGAAAAAAAUGAGUUAAAGUAAGUACCGGUUAGAGUUAGGGUGUAGGGAAACUUAGUGAAGGUGUUUAAAGUAAAGUACAAUUAAAAUGAGAAAGAGAGAGUUAAAAAGAAGAGUAAGACUUGUAAGAGUCAAAGUGAGGAGUUCGAAGUAGAGAAGAGAGGAUGGCUCAAGACCCAAUACGGUCUAGUGUCAGUGAUGUUCACAUGGCGAUGUCCAUCCACCGGACCGGCUGCUUCCGGUUUAAUCCUUUUGUCACCAAUCUUCUUCAACGGCUAAAACAUUUUUUCUACUCUUCCCAUCGGAAUGACCGGCAAAAGCUAAACACAAUUACGCAAUUUAAUGUCAUUUGUUUGGACAUAACUGUGAUUCUUUUUUUAUUUUCCGAGGUCGUUUUGUGUCUUUCACCGUUUAGUUUUCAUGCUUAGAAGUAGACUUUUUUUUUUUUUUUUGGUUUUAAUUAUUUGUUGUUUUUGUUCCUUUUUUCUUUUUUUUUUUUUUUCUAAAAUGCCUUUUUUUAUUGAAUUGCACACAGUACUGUUAGAUUUUUGAUAUAGAGCUGGUUUGUAUGAUUGUAUCCAGAUGAAAGAUACAGGAAUGGAAAUAAAACAUAUUGUUUCUAUCUUAAUUAUAAGAUACUCAGAUUAGUUGGACUGUUUUCACUUUAUUUCAAGGUUAGUUAAAUUAUAUGAAAGCAUGCAUGCUUAUUAGCAAAUUCGUAUUUAUAAUAAUGAUGUGUCCUAGUAUUGUAUCACCUUCUAAAUUUAUUUCGAGAAAAAUUUAAAAAGAAGAAUUAACCAAAUCCUGGUUUUGCUAACAUAAAAUAUUGUUUAGUUUUGGUUUUUGCUAGUUUUUAUUGUAAACAUAUGUCAAACACGGUUUUACACUUCGAGAGAAAAUAUUGUAUACAACCAAGGAUUACCUAGUACUUCGUUUCGUGCUAAUGAAGUUUGUUUUGGCCGUUGCUGUUGUUGCGAAAUGUAAAUCAUAAAACUAUAAAUUGGUCCUAGAAGAUGUAAAGUUACUCGAAGCCACCACAAGAAAAGAAACAUUCCAUUUGCAGUAAACUGUUUUUGUUUCAUGAAUCCUUUUUCAUAUUCAAUAAAAUUUAGUGGUUGAACAAACUCAGUAUAAAUAGUUUUACAUGCAAUAUAUUAAUAAUACACUACUUGUAUAUGUUUUGGGAUGGUUGAGCACUUAUUAAGCUGUUAAUUACUUAGCCCUAUAAACGAGAGAGAUUGGCCUAAAACAUGACCGACAAAACCCUUUAAUUACGCGCUACAAAUUGUUUUCUUAUUGUUUUGUUUGCUAAUUCCUAAGUUUGAACCCAAAACUAUAUACUAUUUGAUUAAUGAUAUUAUUCUCUUGAAUUUUAAAAGAUUUGCCGAUUGUUUUUUUUAUUUCAACACCGAAUAAUUCUUCACUGACUCCUAAGGUAUAUUAUUGUUACACUUACACAUUCGCUUUGCCCUUGGUAAAAACUUUUUAAAAAAAAAUCAAUACUAUACAGAAUCUAUGAUCGGUGGUCCAGUGACAAUCUAUAAAUAGUACAAACCAUAAAAUAUGGCACCAAAAUUAUCUACAUGUGAAAGCUUUAUAAUUUAUCGAAGGUAAGUGCUUAAAAAUCCACUUAUUUUAGUAGAGCAUCUAACAAUUGAUAUAAAUAAGGUAUAUUUUAGUUUUCAAUAAUUUUUGAUAGAUAUUAUCACUUAUGAUUGUUUUUAUUUACCAACCAAACCAUGCAUAGAAACACCACAACAAAUAAGUUCGUUAGGCGGAGGUCGAUAUAUUUGGACGCUCGGUUCAACGUAUGACAUAUCCACUAACACCCCAACCCACAAAAAAGAAACGACCGUAGUAUCACUCACCACCCUUCCCUCGGAUGAUUAGCUUUUGGAUCUUUCAAUCUAAUCAUGAUAAUGCUUAGCCUAUGCAUGAUGAGACUUCACGUAGAGCUGACCAAGCAAUAUGAACAUCAUUAUUAUAGAAGGUGAUCAAAAUCCCUUUUGGUCAUGUUACAUAUAGAAUUUCUUGACAAACAUAUGACACAUAAUGCAAGAGCCGUUUGAUCACGCAAGCAAGAACAGUCAAAUUCCCAUCUUAUCCACUAAAAAAAGAAAGACAUAGUACUAGCAAGGUCUAAUCAGACCAUCGGAUUCAAAUCAAAUCAUUUAUUGUAUAAAUAAUACUCUCCUCAAUUGCUUAUAAUGUGAAGUAACAACAUGGCUGGAUCAUCUGCAUUGCAUUUGGAAGAAUCAUGACACCAAAACACAGCACCAUAACAAGCUUCAAAUUUUUUAUCAUUUAUGCAACAAAAAGAAUAAAACUCGAUUAUUUCGCAUUGGUCUGGUAGAAACCCGAACACUUUUUCCAUAAAUAUUGAACAAAAAAAACAAACAACAAUGAUGAUGAGUGUAGAAGAAUACGUUAAUUAGUUUAUACAAAAGUGUUAAAGAACAAAAGGAAGCCGUAAUUAAUAAGUAUAUAUAAGUAAACAACAAUCUUGUAAGUCAAUAAUAAAUCAAAACAGAUUCUUUGAUUUGCUAGUUACGUCUUCUGUAAAAGACAAAAAAAAAAAAAAAGGAAAAUCUUCCAAAUUUCUACGAGAGAGUGAACGAACGGUCAAAAAAGAGAAGCUAAAAGCCUACAACAACAACAACGUAACAAAAAAUAAGAAAUUAAAACAAAGUACAAAUACUAUAUACUACAGAAAUAUAUAUAUAUAUAAUUUACCGGAAAAUCCGAACGCUCGUCAGGAGCCGAGCCGAGCUUUACUUAAAAACUAAUAAUCCUGUGUAACGCAUAUACACCAAAAAGAUGGCGGAAAACUGAAAUCAACGGUGGAGAUCAUCUGAAAGAGGAAAAGUAUGUGGGACCUACGUAUCUAAAUGUGGGAAUCUUUCUCAUGUACGGUCGGAUUUUGAUGCUUGUGGACCCCCACCUUUUUCUCCAUACCUCAUUCAUUUUUACAAGAAGACCCUCUCCACGCCUCAUCAUCAUUACUACACUUCUCUCUUUAUUAAUUAAUUAUAUUUAUAGUUUAAAGUUUUCAUACGUUACGAAACGUUUAACCAAAGAAAGACAAAAAAAAAAAAACGUUACGAAACGAAAAAUGAAAAGAAAACACAAUCAAUUAAUAAGAAGAAGAAAAAAAGAGAGAGAGAGAGAGAGAGGGAGAGGAGAGUUGAAAAAAUGAGAAAAAGAAGUAAAUUUUUUUUUGAGUGGGAACAUUUGUGUUUAAAAGUGGUGGUGGUGUAGCAGUAGUGUAAUGUAAAUAGGUGAGUGAUAACAAAAAGAAAAGUGAUUGGUACGAAAUGUUUCUUUUGUUUUUCUUAACUUAAAAAUUAAUAAAUAAAAAAGGAGAGAAAAGAUCACAAAGAGAAUCUGAGGACUGUAAAUAUAUUUGGGGGCACAAAAUCCAUCUCCGAUGACUUUGUAUGAUAAGGACACCACCAUCACCAUUACGAUACAAACAGCCACCAACAGCCUAGUGGUGUAACAUGUGACUUUCACUUCCCUAAUUAAUCUAACGGUAUACGUUGUUUAGUUGUGUAAAUCCACCGAACUGCAAACUAAUCAUAUAUGAUGGAUAUACUCUUGUGUGUGUAGUGUAACCACGAUAUUUAACAACAAUACUACAUCUUCUUUUUACUAUAUUAGGUUAUAAUGAUUAGGUUAUAACUCAUUUCAACCUUCUAUUAUUAUUUCUCGUAACCAAAAACAAUUCUCUUUUUCUUCUUCUUGUUUGUUGAUUUUUUGUUGUUGUCUAAAGGUGGAAUCGAUUGGCAUCGUACAUAAUCAUAGGAUUCCCCUCUCCUAUAAAUAAUAGUUGAUUUUACAAAAUAACCAUGAUCGGAACUUUUACUUGCUAUAUUUGAAAUGAGACUUUGCUCCGUUGUUUAUCUUUCCUAUGCGAGAGACAAGACAUCUAAAGUGUGUCUCUGUAAUAUGUAACGUCUGAUUUUACUCGGCGACACUUUUAUACAAACAAAUUGGUUAUUGGGCCGAUACCUCAUCCAUUUGCCAUAUGUAGUACUUUUUUCUUUUUUUGAACACCAAUGCAUAUGUAAUACAACAAGGAGUAAAACCAUAUGAAUAGGUGUGAUGGAAUAUAUAGGAAAUGAAAUGAUUAUCAGUGUCCGGGGUUUUUGGUAUCAUUGGGCUUGGAUUGAAUUCAAUGGGUUUAAGCCAAUACCUUCGGUUGUUUUUAAGUUGUUGAGAUAUUUUGCCAUUGCUUCUUCUUAAAUUGGCCAAAUAGAAAAACUUUUUAGUCACGGUUAAUGGACUUUCCAGAUGGAAUACAAAGCCCAUAUAGGUAGAUGGAAGUGAGAAGAGAUGUAAACUUGUUGGAUGAAAUAAAUGGAUCAUGGAGAAAUAAGAAGAGUACUGUACAAAUAGGUUAUAAAGCCAUAGUUCUUUUACUUGUAGGCAGCUUGGCAUUUGUGAAGGAGGAUUUGAGCAUCGAUGUUUACCUAUGGAUGGGUAUGUUAGAUAUGUUAUAGGGUUUUAUGUUUGGCGAUCAUUUGUUUUCAAUUAGUCAACUUUAUAAUUCGUUUUGUUUUCUUGAUAUUUUCUGAGGAUCAAGAACCUAGAUUAAUUUUGCAAAUCUAAUAUCGACAAAAUUAAAUUAUUUAGUUUACUGCUCUGCUCUUCGGUUUAAAAAUACAAAAUUUUCAAAAACUUAUCAAAUUGUAAUAUAGUAUGUCCUCAUGUGUUUAUAUUAUCAUUAGAUGGCACUAUACUAAAAACAAGGCUUUUAACGUCAGACCUUCAGUUAUUAGGUAGGUUAACGUCAAUAAUAAAGUGAUCUUAAUAAUAUGAGGUUGGUUUGGUACAUGACGUAUUAUGGGCCGACGUAAAAUUUCCUUGCGUCAUUUAGCAAACAGACAUUUUCCAAAAAUUCCAGCGUCAUCUAUUUUUUUUAUAUGUUGUUUACAAUUAAUACGAAAUUAUAUAUCGGCUUAGAUUUAUAAAAUAAUGGUUAUAUGUAUAUUUGUUUACAUAAUUUGUUUAGUUUUUAUGAUUUUAUUUUAAAUAUUAUUUAACAUGGUAUAGUACUCUAUUUUUAUUGGUUAGAGUAAUAAGAGGUGUAGAAAGUGAGUGUAGUAAAUUAGAAAUUGUAAUUGUUGUGGUAGAGAGAAUUGUGGUGGAUUAUAUAGCGGAGGAAAUGACUGGUGGUUGAGGAGGAAGUGGCUAUAUAUGGUGAUGGGAGAGGAAAGUAGAAAACUAUCCAAUUUUGAUUUUUUUCAAAUUCAAGAGCAAAAGGUAAAACACAAUACAGGAAAGCUAAAACACAACUAAAAUCCCCCAUCAUGCAUUGUACGGAUUCGAAGUACUAUGCCUUCAGUUAUAAGAGCAAAAGGGUAACAGAAAGGAUCCAGUGAAGUUUGUCUUAAUUAUAGUAAUCGUCCUCUCUAACUUUAAGCAGUUCGACAUCAAACACCACCCAAGCAUCAGGAGGAACCUUGCCACGAAGGCCUUUCGCACCAUACCUGUGAGCCAGCCAGAAUAUAAUAAUUAUCUCAUUAAAAAGGUUAGAUAACAUAUGACAACAAAAAAACAAAAGAUAAGGCUUAUUAACUUACGCCAUUGCUGGAGGAACUGUAAGCCUUCUUCUGCCACCAACACGCAUGCCUUUGAAAUUUAAAAGAAAUAAAUGAGAAAGAAUCAAAACAUCAUGUUGGCAUGGCACCAUUUGAAAAUAUCUAGUGACAGUAAGAAAUUAAAGCUAGGUUACCAAUAAGGCCCUGAUCCAAUCCCGGAAGGACAAUUCCAGCACCUGCAUGUAACAACAAGCACUAAGUAUCCAAGUACCACUCACUGACUACAAAGCCUCUUUUUGAACAAGUACUAGUUGUAUAACACCAACCUAAAAAUAACUCAUAAGGAGAUUCUCGAACGAUGGAAAUAAAAAUCUUGCCAUUCUCCUGAAGCGUUCCAGUAUAACGAUAACUAACCUGCACACCGAGACAGCAAAAUGAGAUCCAGUUGACAAGUUACACACAAACUACAUUGACGCACUCUGAUAGGACCAAACCCACAGAGAUGAUUUUGGUCUAGUAUUCACCACAACUUAAUAUAUAGUUUUGGUGCUCCUAUAUAUGAGACAUUUUGAUUUUCAAUUCCUAUCCAAUAUGGUGCUUGUUCAUAUAUUUCCUAUCUUUAUAUACUGCCACAAUAGCUUGUAGCAUAAUCUAAUAUGUAGCUAAGGUAAUCAUGUGGUAAUAUCAUAUGUAUGCAAUUUAGGACCUAAAUGCGCAUACCAAUUUUCCAGGAACAGCGAUCUUGCCAUUGCCCACGCGUAUAUCUUCAACAACAAACCCAUCUGACUCAGAUGUUUGCUUUUCAACGCUACUAGUACCGGCUUUAUUCUUACUCUUUAAUCUAUCCAGUUCCUCUCUUAGCCUCCUUAACUUCUCCGCAGGAUUACGUGGGCGAUUGGAGCUUUCUCCCCUGCAUUGAUAACAAAAGAAAAAAGACCAACAGUUAUAAGAUUUGAAAAGGUUUGAAUAAAACCAUCAUGCACUCAUAAAGCCGUAUUGACUUGUGACCUAAUCAUAAACCUACUCCCAAAUGACAUGAAUACUUUCGACUCUACAUUUUUUUAAAUCAAUCAGUUAAAUCAAUCAGUUAACCUCAUUUGCGGAAUGGCUUCAUCACUGGUAGAGAUGGCUGCAUCACUGGUAGAGAUGGCUGCAUCUAAGAAAACAACAGAAGUUUAAUAUGUUAUCAAGAAUAAAGAAAUCAAGAAUAAAUA
rnacentral:lncRNA from 1 species